GCCAUCUCUCUUGCCGAUGGGGAGAAACAGCUGCGGCAUGAGAAACACUAUCGGUACGUCAGCACACAUGACGUUGCUUAUUGGUCAAAGAGCUUCCAGCAGGACAUGGAGAGGACUUGCAAGGACCAUUUUAGGAGGAAUUGCUGGGGAAUUGGUCUGGGAUUCGGUUUCAGGGUGGUGGCUGUCGAACCUAAUUUCCGGAAGCUUCAUGUUGAUGGAAUUGUUUCGGCUUACAUGAAGGCUAAGAGAAGGGCUAUCUUGAUGGAUUACGAUGGAACAUUGGUCCCACUCGCAUCCAUUAACAAGCAGCCCACCGCAGAAAUUAUUAGGAUAAUUAAUACUCUUUGUGCAGAUAAGAAGAAUGUAGUUUUUAUUGUUAGUGGAAGAGGUCGGAAUCAUUUAGGGGACUGGUUUUUGCCAUGCGAGAAGCUUGGAAUUGCUGCUGAGCAUGGAUACUUUGUUAGGUAUGUUUAUUUUUCUUGUUUUUAUGCUGUUAGCAUCCUCAGUAAUUUGGAGAUAAAACAAAUUGCAUAAAUUUGCUCUGAAUGUAGGGGACAUGCUUGGAAUCAGUAGCAUAAACAAUUGAACGGAUUUGGUCAUGUCAUUCAUUCAUAAUGUUUAUUGCUUGAGCUAUUAGGAUUAUAGAUGAGGCAAUUUGGUUAACUUUGCUUGCUUACUCAUGUAUGGUAGCAAGCAUCAAUCAUAAUUCAUCAAAGAUGAUGGAAGAGAAAAAGAGAGAAGAGUUUUGGCUGAUAUGUCAUUAGUUAUAGUUAAAAAUUAUUCUCAUUAUCAGAAGUUGACACGGUGUACACACUUUCAAGGUGGACCAUUGAAUAAGUAGAAGAAGGAAAAAAUUGAAUUGGGGAUGAUAAUAUGCUGUUGUUUGGUCCUCAAUAUUUGCAGGUGGUCUCAGGAUGAAGAAUGGGAAACCUAUAGCCAGAGCACUGAUUUCGGGUGGAUGCAGAUUGCGGAGCCAGUGAUGAAACUAUAUACAGAGUCUACUGAUGGAUCUUCCAUUGAGCCCAAAGAAAGUGCUUUAGUUUGGCAUCAUCGUGAUGCUGACCCUGGCUUCGGUUCUUCUCAGGCAAAGGAAAUGCUUGAUCAUCUAGAAAGUGUACUUGCGAAUGAACCGGUCUCAGUGAAGAGUGGGAAGUUUAUCGUUGAAGUCAAGCCUCAGGUAUGCAUUUGUGAAUUGUACCGUCUUCCUAAUCAUCACCAAUCUCACAAUGCAUCAUUCUCUAUGCCAUGUUACCUUGGACGAACAGCUUGCACCACGAGUGGCAGUUGGAUUUAGAAUUCUCUGGCAACUGCUUCUCUAUCACACACAGCCACAAAAUCAUAUCUAUUGUCAUCUGUGGUUGUAGUGGAUAAACUACCGAUCAUGCCUGGCUUACUAUUUUCUGUAUAACAUACAUCCAGCACUGGGGAAACUGCAAAUUUACCAUUUUGCAAACCCUGCCUGGUUAGCAAGUGUGUUUAAUUUUAUGUAUCUCAUUAUUCAAUAAUUGCUUUUACAGGGAGUUAGCAAAGGUCUAGUGGCAGAGAAGAUUCUCUCUGCAAUGGCAGAGAAUGGAAGACAAGCGGAUUUUGUGUUGUGUAUCGGUGAUGAUAGGUCAGAUGAGGAAAUGUUUGAAGACAUUGCUGGCGUAGUGACGAGGAACCUAGCAGCUCCAGACACAUCAAUAUUUGGCUGCACCGUCGGACAGAAACCGAGCAAGGCCAGAUAUUAUCUGGAUGACACGGCUGAGGUCAGAAACAUGCUUGGAGCACUUGCAGAUGCCUCUGAGGAGUCCUCUUUCGAGGAGAGAUUUGAACCACCCUUGUCCACUUAGAUUAAAAAUGACCAUUCACAAUGAUAAGUGUGCUUGUGAUCGACUUCCUCAUAUUCCAUCGGCAGGGUAAAAGUAAAAUCUUCUGAUUGGUAUCAAAUCUGAGGUAGAUCUGAUCGAGGACAAAUUGCGUAUUGCGUUUGAUCAGACUGCUUGAUAGGCAAUCCCCCGACCAUGUGAGAGAUAUACUGGGAGAAAAAGGCAUAUUCAAACAUGAAGUAAGGUGACGAGGGAGGCCAUUCAACUCCCCAGGGGUGUUCUUUUACUGGAUUGAUUGGAAAGCUGUUUAGGAAGUUAGGUGUUUACUAUUUGUCUCAUUUUUUUGACAUCGAACCCUUGCUGUAGAAGAUCCGAAUUUUUCUGAUGAUUUGACAUGUUAACCCGAUGUGACUAUUACUGAUAACAUAGAUUUUUUUUUUCUAUCUUCUCUUAUUCAUGUACAUCAGUUGCUAUUUGCGUAUGUAUGAGUCUUUGUCAUCGAUGUUCUCUACUGUGGUGAAGCAAUGGAAAGGGAAUGAAAACUAAAAGGAAAAAUGGAAGCUCCCCAAGCAGGCUGCUGCUCGGAUGAGAUGAUCAAGAGUUGUUCUCACCUGAGAGGAACUGAUGCCAGCCCUUUUAUGUUCGUGCCAUGCCCAUGCGAUUUCUUAGUUUUUGGGGAUUGUGAAGAACAGCCAUGAAAUUGUCUCUCUGCUUGUGAAUUUGAUGUUUGAUCAGAUGACAACCUUCUCAUAUGCUCCGUCUUGAAUGGUGAUGAUGGCAGGGACCGGUUGGCCUUGCGGAGGAAUGAAUGUAGCAAUCUCAAGUUUGAGUUCCUGAACUCAAACUUGAUCCUUUCAAUUUUGCUCAUCUCAAUGCCAGAAACUAUCUACUGUUUGCAUGUAGGGAUCAUCCAAAGAACCGCUGCUUGAUUCUUGAUGAAGCAUUGGCCCAGGGCUUUCCCAGGUUCUGGUUCCAUCCAUGUCCAUGACCAACACGCAGGGGACAACAGCCGGCCGACGCAUGGCGACACGCUACCGACAAAACGACACGAGGAAUCCCCAAAUCUCCGUAACAACGCAUCAAAAGUGACAGUGUUCCCACCCGCUCUCUGCCCACAACCGGGUCGGUACCCGUUAAUCUCACUUGGAUCCGAAUCAAUUAACAAGUCUAACAUCAACGAGAUGCCAUAAAAUAACAAUCCUAGUAUUAUUUAACGACAUAAUAGCGACGGGUAGGGUCUCCAACAUUUGAAAUCCGACCCGAUUACCAACUUUUUUACCCGAAUCCAGUUAUAGCGGUUCGGGUGGACGCGAUUGCGAACGAACCCGACCUGUUGUAUCACUAGCGUAGGCACACCCUCUGCCCAAUCAGACAGCAGGUAAUUUUUCGGGUAAACAGAAAAUAGUAAGAAGAAUUUGCUUCGUUUACGACGAACCCUGUUCGAAACCCGCUCGUCUGUCUCUCUUUCUCUCUCUCGCUCUCCGUCUCUCUCUCUCUCUCUCGUCUCUCUCUCGCCAUAUUGCUCUCCGCCGAGCUCAUUCAUCGAAUCCAUCUGCCAAAAACCUAGAUCAGAGAGAGAGAGAGAGAGAGAGAGAGAGAGAUGGCGGGGUACCGGGCGGAGGACGACUACGACUACUUGUUCAAGCUGGUGCUGAUCGGGGACUCUGGGGUAGGCAAGUCCAACCUCCUCUCCCGGUUCACCCGCAACGAGUUCAACCUCGAGUCCAAGUCCACCAUCGGCGUGGAAUUCGCUACCCGCAGCAUCACCGUCGACGCCAAGGUGCUCAAGGCCCAGAUCUGGGACACUGCCGGCCAAGAGAGGUCCCGCUUUCUUUUCUUGAACCUCGGUUCCCCUUUCUGGAACUUGAUCAUGCUUCAAAUGCCGAUCUACUCUUCGGUUGUGGAAGGGCCUCUAGAGAUCUAGGAUCUCUGAUUCUGGAGUAGAAUCAGUGAACCCACACUUUGUAGAUGAAGAUUUCAUCUGAUAAGAACAGAAUUUAGUUGAAGUUAGUCGCAGAUUAGCCUAUUUGGAGUCAAAUUAAAUGAACUGAUAUCUUAACAUGUUUGUUAUUUGACAGUUCAACCCCAAAGAUAUCUCACUCAAUUAACCAUCACAUCAUAUAGAGCCGAUUACAAAGGGCUGCCUAGCACAAGGCUCCCUCCAAUAUGGGUCCGGGAGUUCCAAUGUGCUCAUUCUAAUUCCUGCUCGCAAGGAAACUGCGCCCGUGACCCAAUCCUGAUCGUUUUGGUUUCAAAAGGGCAAUCUUGUUCCAAAUCCAUUCACUUGCGUUGUUACCGUGCUAUCAUUGGGUACAUUCAAAGUAAAUUUCAGAUGUGAUUGCGUGGGUUCCUAUCGGUGGACAUUCUACGCUUCGCCUUUUAUGUUACUUUCUUAUUGUUGGAUUGCAUUGUGGCUAAGUUACAGUAGGUCAUCAAGUUAGACCUGCACCUAUUAAACCUUUGACACAAUUUUCAUAAAAUUAUUUAUACACUCUGCCAGUUGCUUAUGUCCUCAACCCUUAAUGUAAUAAGGGUGGGAACAUGUUUAUCUGUAAAAUCCGGAUGAGUGUGCCUGGUCAUAUUGAGCUCCAUGUUCACUUCAGUGGAAAUCUCCAUGGUCGAUUUCCAGUGUGUGGCAUCAUAAAGUUACUGAUCCUUAAUAUGUUAUUUAUUAUAUGAUUGGUUUACUUCAAGGACAUCAAGGUUCUGGUUUUAAGCAAGUUGCUUCAACCUUUGUCUUUGGUUUUGAACAUUGAGCUGCCUUUUUUCUAGUGCUCGAAGCCUUAAGUCUCAGGUUAGAUCUAAAUGUGUUGGUAGUGUAUCUGAUAAUAUUAUGUCAGGAUCUCAGAAUAUGCUAAAUUAAGUCUACCAUCAUCUAAAUUCAUGGACUUUGCCUAGAAGGGAACAUUUACUCAUCAUAAGCUUUCUAUAAUUUACUCGUAUGGCAUGCAGUUGUAUACUUCUGCAUUACAGCCCUUUGUCAGGAUGUUGCAAACUUGCAGUCCUCGAGCAAGUUCCUUUUAUUCAUCACAUCAGCUUCUCUUUAUCGACUGUAUUUUUACACCUCCUGGGAGGAAUUGUCUUUGAAUCAUCGCAUCAGCCUGGGAGGUCAAGGCCAUGCUUUACACCGUUCUGAUAUCUGUUGGUCAUUUAACUAUCCUGUUGUUUAGCUACUCCUACGAGUGGUCUCUUUGGUAGAUAUUUGAUACAGAAACAGUUAGAUGCAUCUGAGUUCACUGUGAACCUAAUCUGAAUAUUCUUACAUGAUAAUUUGACAAGAUCAUCAUUCUUGUGGAGGCUAAGUAAUUGUUCCGUAGUUUCUUCUUUAUAGUCUAAAAUUUGCACAGAUAACAUGCAGCUGGAAACAAAUAAACUACCACUUGUCACAACUGGGGUAGAGAAAACAUGCAGAAAUGCUCUAGAAGGAUGUUAUAGUAUAAUUUGUGAAUAAUACAAUAGAACCUAAAAUUGCCAGAUCUUGCAUAAGCUGAAAUCUUUUCAAGUUCUAAUAGAUUGCUUUGACCCACUAAUGUAGGUAUCGUGCCAUAACUAGUGCUUACUAUCGGGGAGCAGUUGGUGCAUUGCUCGUGUAUGAUGUUACGAGACAUGCUACAUUUGAGAAUGCUGCACGUUGGUUGAAGGAGUUGAGGAACCACACAGAUCCUAACAUUGUUGUCAUGCUCAUUGGGAACAAAUCAGACCUCCGACACCUUGUUGCUGUUCCUACUGAAGAUUGCAAAGCUUUUGCUGAGAAGGAAUCUUUAUAUUUUAUGGAAACAUCUGCACUAGAAGCAACAAAUGUGGACAAUGCAUUUCAAGAGGUCCUGACUCAUAUUUACCGCAUUGUCAGCAAGAAGGCAGUUGAAGCAGCUGAUGAUGCGGUGCCUACUGUACCAAGUAAAGGUGAAAGAAUAAACGUGAAGGAUGAUGCUUCUACGCUGAAGAAACUUGGCUGCUGUUCAAGUUAGGUAACAUUGAUGUUGCUCAAUGCUUGCUUUCUCUUUGUGAUGCAUGUCCUAUUUUUUAUAUUAUUUGAGUUGUCUUCUUUUCUUUUGAAAUUGACAAUUCAUUUGAACAUGAAUAGACUGAGAUUUUGUUAUCUUAAUGUUUGUACCUGAAAAUCUUCGUACUUAAAUAUUCCGAUUGCUGAGACCGGGAUUUGCUGUGGUGAAAAUUAGAAUUCACCAAACAUGCAUACAUGUGUUUUAUCGUAGGGAUGGGAUUUAUAUGUAACCACUAUUUUUGAUAGUGGAAUUCCUCUUUUUCGGUCUUGCACCGAAUUCCUGGUUUACGUAUGCAUGAUAAAUUUUGAAAUAUCUGUAAGUCAUGGAAUUAAAAAUUUCUCCACAGCUAGUUCUUGGUUGUUUAUACACAUGAUAAAUUUAAAAGUGCCAUUAACUGAUGGGACUGAGAACUUCUUGACAAUUAUAUUUUUCUUAUCAGUCGGUUAACUGGUAGAAGCAUUAAAAUGGUCAAGCCUUGAUUAUGGUAACACCAAUGGAAGUUACAUUUUACAAGGAAUUAUUCUGUAAGAAGCUAUAUUCCUUAUUCUGGGAAAUAUUUUUCUUUUUAGGAAAAAAAAUGAAGCUCAACUUUGAUAAGUUCAGACGUGUGCAGAUUUCACAAUUUGCAACAAGCAUGAGACUACAAUAUUGAGGUGAAAUCAAUUAGGAAUAGUUAGACUGAAAGUUGUUGGCUUCACUAUGAAAGGGCAAUAUGCAUUUGAAAGGGAAGAAGUAGCCAAUAAGAUGUUGAAGCGCAAAUCUAGGGUUUUGGUAAUCUCCCAAAGAUUGUUGCCAGAUUUGUGUCUAACUAGUUUGUCGUCUUUGACUUCUUCGAUACGUCUUGAGGUGGCUUACGCCUUGACACAGAAUAAUUUCUUUUUUAACAUCCUGAUUAAUGAUAAUAUCUUAAGAUUAAGAUUGAUUUAUAUGACUCUGAUAGAUGUACUAAUAUCAAACUUUUUAUCUUUUUUUACAUGAUAGAUGAUGGUUUCUUAUGCCUGCCUUUUCUAAAGAUAUUCAAGAAACUCUAUAGAGUGCUUCAAAAUCUCUUGUGAUAGCCAUUGUAGGGAGCAGUGUACUCUUUGACCAAAAUCAGGAUAACAACAAUCUGAUUCUGAUUACAAGCGACAAGGCUGCCUCUCAUGUUCUUACCACAUCUUUAUAAUACAAAAAGUCCAUGCAUAAAUUUAAAUGCUAUCUAUCUUUGCCGCUGUACAUGAUUUAUUUUAGUUGGGAAUCUUAGUAUGAGAAUGAUAAAAGUCUUACUGGGAUACGUAUGUCUGUGUUUGAUAUUGCUCAUCAGUAUUUGAGACUGUUGUCCUCUAUAGAAUGGGUUGAGAAAAGAAUAUACUAUUACCUCAAAGAUGGGACAUAGGGCACAAAAAUAUUACCUAUGCCCACUCCAACUAUUUUACGGAUGUUUUUGCUAACCAUCAUCUAAACAUGGUUUUUUCACACUACCAACAAUGCAUGGCUGAUAAAGAACUGCUAAGCCUUUUACGUUUCUCUAGAACUUCUUCACCCACAAAUCUGGCCUUGAGCUAAUCCUACAUUGUCUUCAUUCUCCUGUUGCUUUUUGCUUGUUAUCCAUGUAGCUAUGGAACGAACUGAUUUGUGUUUGCCUGCACGUAACAUAGCUCAUAUAUAUCUGCUUCUACGUUACGAGAUCAGUGAUGAGAAAGUGGCUAGCCUUCAGUAAUGGCAAGAUAGAAGAUGGGUUUGUGAGAGAGACAUUUACCAACUGCUACGAAGAAUUGAGUCUAUUUUGGAUUUAAUCUGCUUUGUCGUGUGUAUGACUUUGCAAACUAGUGGGUGUGUAUAUGUAUGUGUGUGUGAAGUCAUUAUUGAAGAAGUCAACCAAAACUAAUAAGAAAGUCAAAGUAAAAAGCCAUGUACGCACGCGUCAGAAACCACGACAGAUUAGCCCAUCACACGCCGUAAGACACUCCCGCGGUCUAAUCGAUGGCCGUCGAUCAUCCGUUGGUCCCCAUCGCCGACGCCAGCCCCCGGCGUAGUACCACCGAGGACUCCGGCAGCUCCUCCAGCCCCGCGAACAGCGAGUCCUCCUCUCCCGCCGCCGUUGCUGCCUCCCUUUCCUCCAGCAUCGGCACCACUGCCGCGUCGGCGCCGCCGAAGUGGACCGAGCCGUAGAGCAGCUCGUCGGAGCCCGCGGAGGUGGAGCAUGGGGAAGCCACGUCUGAGAACCACCGGAAGCCGCCGUCGUCGAUCAACAGCAGCGGCUCGUCCUCACCGAUCACCACGGGGCACUUCUCUUCCGGCUCGGGGGGGCAGGGUUGGGUCGACGGCGGAGGCGACGGCGCUGGCUCCUCCACUGGGAGCUGCGCUGGCGGAGUCGGGCGAUUCUGGUGGUGUCGGCCGUUCUUGGGGAGCGGCCAGGGGUGGUUGUGCUCGAAAGAGUAGCUGACGACGAGCGUGGCGGGGUCCAGGCGGCUGCGCUCCACCUGCUUCCUUGCCGGGCAACCCUUCCAGCUACUGCACCUGUAGUAACCCCUGCAUGUCCAUGUACGUAUCAGAACCAAGCUCGCUCGCUCGCUCUCUCUCUCUCUCUCUCUCUACGCACCUGGGAUGAGGGGAGCCUUUGAUGGGCUUCUGGCCGUACUUCCUCCACGCCCAUGAAUCCGACGGUGGGAACGCCUCGCCACCGCCGUUCCUCGACCCGACUCCCUCGGCGUCGCCGAUGGGGAUCGACACCACUCGCUUCUGGAUCGACCGCCGGCUGCCCGACCACAACACCAAAGGAGAACAUAUGAACCUCGAUCUGUCUAUAUCCCAACGACGAACCGCAAGCCUACCUUCUCUUCGUGCAAGGAGGAGCAGCCAAGGGGUGGGUGGGUUUCAGGUCACGGUCACCUCCGCCAUGUUUCGACCUCUCCUCCGCUUCCCAUGCAUCCAUGUUAAGGUCUCACGAGCUUGUUUGAUCGAAUAGAGCAGAUAAGAUGAAGCGAGGAGCUCAAGACGAUAUCUCCAUGGUUUCCAUUUGCAUGCUGGGAGAGUAUAAAACUGCUGCCGGUUGUGUGGGUUCUUAUUUAUAUUAUACGAAGCUGCUCUCCAUGUCUCUAUCCAAAAGGAACGAAGCAAUGCGAGGGCAAGUAGCACAAAUAAACUAUCAAGAAGGAUGUGAAUGCUUUCUGGUUCUUCCGUGACAGGAAGUGUCACCUUCUCUCCAUUCUUCGGAUCCGCCUGAAUCUGACAUCCAAAGCCAAUUGUCUUACCUUCAUUGGAAGUCACACACACACACACACACUCUCUCUCUCUCUCUCUCUUUCAAUCUAUAUACGAGCAAGUCAAAUUCUCUCCUUCAUUUCCAAGCCCUCCGACCAAACUCCAUCAUGAAUACUUCAAGUAUGUUAAUUUAGUUUCCUUUCGCUAAACAGAUUUGCAGUAGUAUUCAUGAGAACAAGGAGAGAGUUCAUUUAAUGCAUGAGAGGACUGAGAUCAUUAAUCAUGAUUUCAUUCGAUGAGCUUGAACUAUUGAUAUUGCAGAGCCAAUAACCAUUAAGAAAUAAUCUUCCUGUGGUGGCAAGGUUUAUCCUUGAAAGGAUAAUUUAGCCCAUAAUGUUUCCAUAGAUUAACAUACGCAACCUUAUAAACAUAUAUAUCAUAAUUGAACAGCUCUUGCUGGCUGUUUAGUUAGGAAAAAGGAACGGAUCAACCAAUAAUUUCAAUUAGACUAUUCGUGUAUCUAUCUACGUUUGCAAUAAAUUAAUGGGAUCACAGCUCGCUGUAAUGCGGUUUGGUCAAACGACUUGUUCGAGUUGGAUCUCUUCUUUAAUCCCUAUUUAAUUGUCGGGAAGCAGUCAGCGGAAGAAUCGCCGUCACAGCCAGAGGCAUAUGAACGCGUCCUCCGUCGAGGAAGAGUCAACGAGUUAUAAGAUCUUUUAAUUGCGACGGUCAACCAGUAAUGUGGCACGAUAUGUCGAUAAACGCGGUGAAUUGGUGGGAACGAUGCUGUGUGCUCAUACGGAGGUGGCUCGAUUCAUGGCCGGGAAGUCGAUGAUGCAGCAUCUCCAACGUCAAUCAUCCAAGGCAUUCGGCUGGCCUUCCUACCCAAAGUAACGGAUCAUUUCAUGGCUUUUCUUAUUUAUUUAUUUAUUUAUUUUUGUUUUUAUUAAUGAUUUUAAUGUCUUACGAUGAUAGCUAAAGACUUCGAUAUAUUCUAAUAAGUUCUAUCGACCAAGUGUACAUGGUUUUUAUCUUAAAGCGUCUCUCUCUCUCUCUCUCUCUCUCUCUCUCUCUUCCCCCUUAGAGCUUAUGAAUUUAUAUAUGUUUUGUUAAUUAAUCAUCGCUUUAAGAAACUUAUUUUAAUAGUAAAAAUUAAAAAUAAUAAUUUUAAAGAUUAUAUAUAAUAUAUAUGUGAGACAUAUAAAAAAUUUAUAUUGUAACACUCAUGAUUAGUCCCACAUCGAAAGUGGACAAAAUUAAGAUUGACUUAUAAGGGUCUGAUGAGUGUAAAAUUAUUAAUUUCAGCUUAAAUAUUUUGAUUAAUAAUUUAGACCAAAUGAAAUUAAUAGGAGCCCAUCAAGCUUAGACUUAAUCAAGAUAUAUUCACAUAAUUUGUUGGGCUCAACAUUAGCCCCAUGACUUAACACCAAUUUGCUUGCUUAUUAUUGUAAUUAAUGACGAGUGUGCGGUGACUAUAUAAUUUGAUCUUAAUGGGAUUUGGAUGAAUGGGGACCCACAUGUGGUGAUUACAUUAUUUCAAGAUCGGUCUGUAAAUUAUCAUGUUUUAAUAUUUUGGAUCUAAUAAUCGAAGAGUUUUCUUCCCGAUCACGUCAUUUAUCAUAUAUUCGAAAAUUAUAUUGAUCUACGUGAUGACUUCAGCUGGUUUGCUUAUCGUGGACGGUGGAUUUGCCCUCGCAAGCCGGCAUUCCUUUGACGAGAGGAAGCAAAAGUCAACGGCAUCGGCACGCGGCAUCCACCGCGGCCCUUGGGCUUUCUAGAGAGGCACGCUCCGUUGGUCCAAACGCCCCGGGCUUCGUAGGGUUGGCGAUGGACCAUCCCAUCACAUCAACGGUGGUGAGAUCACGGGACCAAAGCAUCGCAUCCACGCAUGGUGGCGACACGGUGGCAAUGGGACCCACGCGUUCGACGUACGAACUGCAGCGUCACAAGCAACCAUUUUAAUGUCACGUAAAUAUCCACUCCAAAAUUAUUUUCAAUUGUAUAAUAUAUAUAUAUAUAUGUAUAUAUUAAAUAUAUCUCAAAACGAUACUCUCUUAUUUUUUUAAAAUAAUACUCUUAAUUUAAAAAUAUCUAAAAUAUCCCUCAAAAAAAAUUUUCCGUUAUUUCUUUUAGCUUGUUUAUAUUUUUAAUAAUAUUUUAGAUAUUUUAUUGACAUACUAAAAAUACUAUAAAUAUUAUUAAAAAAUUACUAUAAAUGAUAUCAUAUCAUACCUCUUUGAUUGUCAUUGCUCAUAGAACAUCAUAAUAUUAUAUUUUUAAGUUUUCAAUUGAUUUAAUUGAGAUUAAUAUCAUUUAUAAUAUUUUUCAAAUAGAUUUUACGGUGCUUUUAUUGUGGUAGCAAACACAUCGUAACAAAUCAAAAUAUUAUAAUAAACAAAAAAAUUAAGAGAUAAUUUGAGUUUUUUUUUUAAUUAUAUGUACUGUUUGAAAAAGAACAAAAGAAUAUUUUCUAGAAAACUAUCCAUAAAUAUAUUUAUUUAAAUAUUUAAAAAAUUUAAACAUCUUUUGCCAUCACACGAUAAACUCAAGUCAACUAUCCAACACUUCAGUAUUACAUGAUCCAUACUUUGGUAUAAAUUAACCAAUAACUUAAUAUCACAUCCUAACAUCACAUCAUAUCUCAAACUAUAUUUAUUUUAACAUAGCACAAUUCUACUUAAGAUGAGAAAUAUCACAUUAAUAGCCCCAAAGCAACACUAAAAAAGGUUUCCUUAAGUGUAUUUUAAAAUAAUAAUAAUAAUAAUAACUCACAUUCAUUGCUUUCGAUUUUAUUUUAUUUUUUAGGAUUUUAUCGACACUAUAGUUCUUAAGCUAAUUUAAACAUCAAAAGAUGACUUUGUUGAUGCUUCCUAAUACCACACGAUAUCGCAAGAUUCGACAUAUUCUUGGUUCAGACGAUGAUUUUUAUUCCCUACUCCAUCUCAGCCGUCCAAUGGGCCCAACUUCGUGAUCUCGAUAUCUCAUCGAGAUCAAGAGGCCAGUCUAAAUCUAGCCGUUCAUCUGGCAUAAGACGCUGCCGCCAUCAUAACGUUGGGAAAUGCCCUUUAUCCGAACCCAAGAAACGAACGCGUAGAAGAAACCCAGUAGAUCACGACCGUCCAUCGAAUCAAUCUACACCACGACCGUGAGCCGCACCGACAGUGGUGCCGUCGAGGGUGUCGUUAAUGGGUGGCGUCCAUUAUAUUUCUUCCCCACCUUGGUGACGCCUCCUGCCAGCCCUUUCCCCUUCCCAUUUGGUAUGCUCGAGCGCUUCGUCGAGCGUCUUCGGAAAGUAAACGGAUUUCUAUUUCCCUUCCCGGAAUAAGAGAGCCGAUGAUGGGCGACGUGAAGUCGUCGAGCCCGAUGGGGAACAGGGAAAGGGAUCGCGAGUUGCUCAUCCCCGUCGCCACCGCCGCCGACGACCCCGAUUCCAGGGCCUCCUCCUCCUCUGCCUCCCCUGCCCACCACCACCACCACCAUCCCCAUCCCACCUCCCACUCCGGUCGAGAGGUGACCUACCCACCGCGAUCUCUUCGUCCCUCGUCGCGUUUCUCUUCGAUUUGUUCUUCUCCCUUUUCGAUUUAGUUUCAUGUUUCCUCCCCCUUCAUUUCUGUGGUGAUUGGAAGCAAUUUAGCUUCUGCCAUGUCGAUGUUGACGGAUUUAAGCCUGGGUUUGGCUUCCUGGUCGCGAGGGUUCGUUCGUGAGUCGACCAGUCGCCUGGAAAGUGACGCUGUUUAUUUGACCUAAUUAGGCUUGAGCUUCAAAUGGAUAUUCGCAGCUCCUUCUCAAAUUUGGUGUUAUUGCGCACCAAGGACUCACCAUUACAGAAAAAUUCUUUUUCUUCUGCUAUUUGCUUGCCGUGGCCAUUUAUCUGCAAAGAAAUAUGUUGAUUAUACAUCUUGUUUGCUACGGCAACUCAAGUUUAGGUGCAGCAUGUAGCUAGCUUCUUUAAUUAGUUUGGGCCAUUUAAUUGAUUGAGAUACCUUGUACAUUGAUGUGCCUAAAUCCCUUGGUAUUCUUUCCCAUGCUAUGUCACUAUGACAUAUAGUCUUCAUCCUUACGCCACAUUCGUGCACUCACAAUCAAAGUCUUCAAUGUAGAGAUCAUGACUCCCUAUGUCUGUAUAUAUGGACGCAUUUGCCUAUGUUUUGCAAAGCAUGAUACUUUAGUUAAAUGCUGGAAAGAGGAUAUGUGGCUUUACUUUAACGCGCUUGCUUCUGUUAUAUUGAAAAUCUUGUCAAAGGUUGCAUUGAUGUGUGUAAGUUUUUAUGCUUAUUGAUGCUGCUUUUGUGAAGAAGUGGUCUCGAUAACUUAUCCACUUCUUUGAUUGCAGGCAUGCUAUAAAGUCAUCCGUAGUUGGGUUUCAAAAAAGUUCAUGACUGGGUGGUAAGCUUCUCUUAGCAGUGUUCAGCAUGAUUUAUAUUUUACCUUUUUUAUUUUAAUUUCCAGGCAUCUUGCUAGGGCGUUGUGCUUUGGAGUUCCUUGAUUAGCCAUUUUUCCUUGUCCAAUGUGGUUUCAGUUCAAAAAUAUUGACAAAAUUAUAUGAAGAACCUAGGGAAAGGCCUGAUAAGGUUUCUAAUAGCCAUUACUCAUGGUACUAUGGACCCCCAAUGGUCACUGUAACCCAGUCACAAGGGCAGCAAUCAAUUAAUUUCUCUUUUGGUUUCACUUGUUCCUUUUGUUAAUAUUAUAUAAUGUAAGAGAAUGGAAGCUUCUUUUUAGCCUUUUCCUUCAUCUCUUUAUGGCCUUGCAGCAUUGGUGUUGACUGCUGUUAUAUAGUGCAAUGAUGUUGGUAGAUGAUAAAUUCAAUAGUUGCAUGGUGGUAAAUGAUAAAUUCAAUAGUUGCAACAAAUAACAAACACAAUAGUUGUAGCGUCUCCUCAGUUUCACUCUCAGUCAAAGGCAUCGUGUCUCCUUUGACUUAACAUUUCACUUCUUAUUUUCUUUGUUAUGCUUCUAUUCUUUCCUUUUUUCAGUUUAAGGCUAUUAUCAGUUAUAAUUGGUCAAAUGGCAACGGAAACUGGAUUUCCCACCAUCUAUAUCUUAUCGGGAAAGCACUUUUUUCCUUUAGCGUAUGAGUGAACUCCUCUCCACUCUUUUUAGGUAUCUAUGCUCCUAUAAUCAAUCCACUUGGAUAGAGUUUGAUCAAUGCUUGCAAUUUCUAACUUUAGAAAUCGAGAAAUUAAAAAAUUAAUUUGGCCUUAGAUGAAGCCAGUAUGGAUCGGCAAUGUGGUAUCAGAAUCAACCAAUAUUGCAAAUCAUAAACACCCUGUACCUACUGAUAUGAGUGAAAAAUAUGAGACCACACAAGAGUUUUAAUGACUUUUACAAGGUUACUAAGAAUAAAAUAUGAUGUUGAAAGAUACCAAGCAAACAGUUUUGUGUUUGCUGGAAGUGUCAAUUCAGGUCCUUGAGUUCUGCUUUUAGAUAUCCACAACUGCUUUGUUGUUUGUCAAUAUGCCAGACUAGGGAUGACUGGAAUAAAACUUUAUGGUUGCUUAGCUCAGGGAUUGCUCUACUGUUCUUGGAGAAUCAGAAGAACAAAAUAAGUUUGAACUUCCAGUCAUUUUUAGUUUUCUUCUGAUUCAUACAAUUUGAUGACUAUUAAAGCAGUUGACAGAAACAAUGUACAUAUGUUGUAGAGUUGUCUUUGGCGAUUCCUCGAUAUCAGCAUGUUCUAAUAGCCUUGGUUAGACAGCAUCACAUUUCUUAUUUGUUUCUGGUCUACGUAAGGCAUCACAUUUCUUUGUUUUUUGGGUACUUUUAAUAAGUCACCAUGAUCUGUCAGCUGUACCUAGGUCUAAUCUUAUUAACUACUGGUGUAUGUUCCUUUUUCUGCAUUUUGCAGUGUGAUUCUUUUUCCAAUUGCGAUCACCUUCUAUAUCACCUGGUGGUUUAUUCGUUUUGUUGAUGGAUUCUUUUCUCCAAUAUUUGCUCAGCUUGGGAUAAACAUAUUUGGUAUGCACAUUUUUCUUUUGAAUUUUCCUUUGUAGUUCAAGAGACAUUCUAAAAAUGCAUUAGAUUUAUUACAUAGAAGUGUUAUCUUCAAAAGGUAAGUGUUGGCUAUGCUUUCUUGACUAUUAUAGUUGAUUUUUCUGUAACUAGUUUCCGUUUGAAAGUAUAUGUUUCCACACUGUCAUUGUUGAUUUUUCCUUUAUUGGCUUUCUUUUUAAGCCGUAUCUAUUUCAUUUUUUCAUAAUAGCAAUAUUAUUAGAGCUUUUUUGGACCUUCCAUGUUAAAGCCUUUGUUUAGCUUCAUCCGUUAUGCUGCAAAACCAACGGCUAACAUUGUUGUUCACGUUUAAUUGCAAUUCACUAUUUUUCAUUGGAAAAUCUGAUGACUAAGGUAGUCGACUUUUAAUUGCUCAAGCUAUCUUUAUGUUCCUAUGCUGAUCGCACAUUUAAUUGUAUUCAAAGGCUUGUAUAUGGAAACUGUAUUACAAGGCUUUGGGUUUGCUCUCUGAUGCAUCACAGAUGUACAAGUUUGAAGAUUUAUAUUACAUAAUUAAUACAUCUGAAAAGAAUAGGAGCUAUUAUUCUAGUUCUGUUUUUAUGUAGAUUGGCAUGAUUUUUAAUCCGGCUGCUGGGUCAUUCGUCUUAUUUUGGUGAGACAGAGCAAUAUAUCAGUUUUUUUGCUUCUUUCAUGGCUCACUUUUGUCUUUGUUUUUUAUGCUUGCAUCAGAUGUAUUUAGGUGUCCAUCUGUAUGUUCAUCUGCAUGCCUUGGCAGGCACACAUUCUUCACUAAUCGUGUGCACUCAAGAAAUGCACAUGCACCCUAGUCCAUAUGUGAUCAAUUUCUUGAUUCGUCAUUUCUUCUGCUUGAGAUAUUAUCAUUUUAGUAGCACUUGUGGUUUUUACUGAUUUUGGAGCAAACAUGGUGUAAGAUACCCAAGUCAAAAGAAAAGGUUUUGUAGUUGAUCCUUUUAAUUUGUUUGCCAUUUCUUCCAUGCUUGUAUGUUGAAUAGUUGAAUCCUUGCUUUCACAGGACUCGGCUUUGUAACUUCCAUAUUGUUCAUCUUCUUGGUUGGAGUGUUCAUGUCAUCCUGGCUUGGGACAUCUGUCCUCAAUCUUGGUGAAUGGUUUAUCAAGCGGAUGCCAUUUGUACGUCACAUCUACAAUGCCUCCAAGCAAAUUAGCUCUGCUGUGUCACCUGGUAAAUGUCUCUAAUUGCUUUAUCUUUUAACCUAUUUAUACAUCACUGAUUUUUUUUUUCUUUUCAAUACAGACCAGAAUAAACAAGCCUUCAAGGAAGUUGUGAUUAUUAGGCACCCUCGGGUUGGCGAAUAUGCAUUUGGAUUCAUCACUUCCACCGUCAUUCUUCAGGUCCUAAUCAUCUAUUAUAAUUAACUAUUGGUGGUAUUAUGUGUUGCAUAAUAAUUCAUGCUUGUUUUUGUAGCACAAAUUCAUGUUUAUGUGCUUAAGCAUUUUGUUCAUGCACUGGUCUCUGCCAUGUUACACUUUAGAGGAAAUAUUGCUUAUUACAUGCACUUUCAGUUCAUCCUUAAAAAGUUUGAGAGGAAAACCUGGAAGCUGCAAAAAUGUUUUUGGACACGCUGAAGAUUCAAGUCUUCAACUCUAGGUAGCUGCAAUUUCUGUGAUCUGAUUGGUUCCAUGAGCCUCUUUUGUGUUCUUGAAAUAAUAUAAUUUAGAUAAGUUCCUUUUUGGGGGAUGGAUCCAAAUGCAGAAGAUUAUGAAGGCGAUGUUUGGUAAUAUGGCGGCACUACAUGCCAAACGCUGACUGCUAUAUAAAAUCACAAUCUAUACUAUCAAUGGAGAUCAAGUAAUUAAAAAAAAGUAAAUAAUUCUUAUGUCUUCACACAAGCAUCAAGCAUCCAUUUGCACAUAUUUUUCGGCCUAGUGUCUAGGACUAACUAGACACUAUUUGUGAUCAUGUUGUGCUUUCUAUAUUUUGAAAUUCUGCUAUUGUUACUUGUCUAUGGUCUCAUGUUUAGUAUGUCACUUGAUUUUAUAACAGAGUUAUUCUGGUGAGGAUGAACUCUUCUGCGUCUACGUUCCAACCAACCAUCUUUACAUCGGUGACAUCUUUCUGGUCAACUCAAAUGAUGUUAUUAGACCAAAUCUCUCUGUUCGGGAAGGAAUCGGUAGGUUGCUAUCCUCAUGUUGUUUGAUGCACUUUGCCUAUGUCAACUAUCCUGAAAGAAAACUACAAUAUUAGUCAAUUAAUUUUCAGUAUAUGCUUUUUUAUGAAUCUUGAGUUUAUCUUUAAUUGCAGAGAUUGUUGUUUCUGGGGGUAUGUCAAUGCCUCAGAUUCUCUCAACACUGGAUCCGCAUACAGUACCUGAGAGAACCAGAACCUACCCUUAGUUUGAGAUAUCAGAUACAUGCAGGGUAUGAUUUCUCAAGGCUUUAGGCUGUGGAAGACUUUUCUCCCAUUUUUCUGAGUGGGCUGGCAACUUUGGAUGCCUCUUAGCGUCGUCCUCCUUUUGACUCGGUUUAUAUAUCUGUCUUGUAAAUAGGUUAUAAGAAAUUUGGUAGUAUUCUACAUGCUGAUGUUCCAUAUUUUACUCUUUUAAGUUCCUCAUCGUGUUGUAAUUGUUAGGUAAUAUAUAGUUCCCGCAUUAUGGAUCGUACAAGUAUUUUUGGUAUAAUCAUAUUUUCUUUAGUUAGUCAUCUAUCUUUGAUUCUUCUUCGGCCAUUGCAUUAUUUUUUUCCGGACGGGUUAAAGAAAAGUUCGAACGUAUAUGAUAAAAGAGGAAGAAAUAGAAAGUAAUGAAGCAUACUUUCCUAAACAGGCUGAAUCGAGAGGAAGAGAGGAACGAAGUAAAAAAUAUUGUUGAAUCAUACAAAUAAAUAAAAUAUAAUAAUGGAAGUAUACCUGUUAAUUGUAUGGGCCAUUAUUGGGCCGUCUCGUGUUGGUGCGGUGAUCGCACGCGCGAGUCGUUCCUUGAUAGACCCUGCAGGGGUUUGAGUGAUGGGCGAAAGAAAAAGCGGGUCGGUCGCGGAGAGAUCCAUGGCUCCCAGGGUUUCUCUCAACAAGAAAGAGGGAAGGUCUCAGAGGGGCCGGAGGAGCGUCGAUGGCCAAGUGCCUCAAUGAGUGGAGCACCUCGACGAUGCAGAAGGCCUUGGCGAUCACCCACUACGGCUUCAUCCCUCCUCAUCCUCAUCGGCGUGAACUCCGAGCCCAAACCCCAACUCUACCAGUUCCUCGGCCCCGUAAUCAUGGUAUGAUUCGCUCCAUUUCUCUCUCUUGGAUGGUAUAGUAGUGCAUUUAGGUAUGUAUAUACUGUUGAGGUGUAGAUCUCCAUCGAAUCCUGAGCUUUGGCCGGAUCUUGGAAGUACUCUGUUGAAAGGCAGAGAAUAAAACUUGAUUCUAAUGAAUUAUAGUGUAUUGAUCUCCCACUCCGUUUGAACUUUUGCAAUUGAUGGUUUCCGAUGGACGUGGAGGAUCAUACUAGACAUUGCAUUUAUCUUCUGGUGGUAUCGUGAAUCCAUUCGGGUUGUAAGGUUUAGAGAAUAAAGACCUCUUUCGAAAUUUGCAUUGUUGUGAGUGAAUUUUAAUCAUACUUGUGGUGAAGAAUCCAUGUGUGCUUGUCACUUGUUCUAAUAUUAGUUCUCUGGAGGUAUGUUGGCGCAGUUAAUGAUUCAUAGGAGUACCCCUUUUUUUAGAUUUUGGUGAUCAUAUAAUCGUUCUUGUAACUAUUUCAAUAGAGAUGUAUGCUUCUUUUGUCGAGCUUGAACUCAAAUGUAGAUGUACAUGUUUAAGUCUAAUGCCUUUCUCUUCCCUUUCAGUCCCUAAAUUUCCCUGGCUAAUCCAUUUCUCCGACGAGUAUGACACGUUCAUUUCUUCGACCGCAGCUUGUCUUCUCCCGCCCUCGAUCGCGUGCGCUUUGUCUGCUGCAACCCUCGAAGAGUAAGCAUUUUUAAGCUUAAACAUAACACUGUUAGUCGAUGGUUUACUUGUAAAUAUAGAAUAUGCAUAAAAGUAUAUUUGAAUUCUUAUUUAUGAACUCUCAUUUGUGUGCUUACAUGAAAGCUGAAUAAAAGGAUAAAUUUAGUGGUUUGCUGCACACCUAAACCCACUGAAAGGAACUUUUUAAAGGUAUUAUUGAUCCCUUAGCAGGUGUUGGACAAGGAAAAACACAACAGUAUGAGAUACAUCUAUGGUCACAAUUAGGGCAGAUGAACUUGCCUUUUUUUAUUUGAUAUAUAUAUAGUACGAUUGUUUUAACCAAAAUGACACCAUGAAGAUCUUAAGCCUUGUGAUAUCUACUUAUCUGUAUUAUGUAUGAUAUGUGCAAGUUGCUGUCUUUGGAUUCUUUUUUUCUUUCAGUUCGUGAUCGUUGAAGAUGAGAUUUGAUCUUUAGACCUUGCUAUCAAUGGUGAAGAUUUUGACAUCUUUGAAAAUUUUAUCAAAUAAGAUCCUGAAUCCUCAACCUUUGUAAGUUGGGUCUAGUACUCAUUAUUAGAUCAAUAGUUUAGCUGUAUUGUCUUGGAGAAAGUUUUAAAAUCUCAACUUGAGAUCAAUAUUUUAGGUAUAAAAAUAUGCUGGAUGAGAUUUUAAAUCCUUAGUUUUUCGAUGGGUUUGCUACUUCACCAUUAUGUCAAUAUUUUAUGUGUUUAAAAGUUUAUUGAAUGAGGUUUCGACCGACCUUUGUUAAGUAGAUUUGGUAUGUUAUCAUCGGACCAAUGUUCUGUUUGUUAAAAUAUAUCGGAUGCCAUUUUUAACUGGAUAUGAUACACCAUUAUUAACCAAUGUUUUAAAUGUAAAGUUAUAGGAAAUGGUUUUGAAUCCUAUAAAUAGAUUUGUUAUACCACCACUAGAUAUGAUAUUUUAAUUAUUAUGUUUGAUACUUUUAUACUUUGGUACUUUGUUACAUUGAUGCUUUUGCCUCUUUGUUACAUUGAUACUUUUGAUAUCGUGUUUAUGAUUAAUAAACAUGAUGUGAAUGUGUAUAACAUUCAUGUAUCAUUGGAACUUUGUCAAUGGCAUUCGUUUGACCUUAGACUUUCAUUUAAUCAAUAUCUCAAUAUCAAAUUCUAGUUUUUCUUUCUCCUUUUCAUGAUUUGGGGGGUCUUUUAACUCAGUUUGAUUAUUCUUAUGUUGAGUAUGUGAAUGAGCAUGAUCACAUUUACUAACCCCACAUGGUGUCCAUUUGACGAAGACACCGUAGAUGAUAAUAAAAUCUUAAUUGUGAAUUCAUUAUACCCGACUCAUGUGACAAAUUUUAGGAGGUCAGCUAUAUUAGCUCAUGAAGAUUUUGAUUCUUAACAGUAAGAUCUUGGAAUUGAAUCUCGUCCUCACCCUUUAUCACUUAAAAAAAAAAUAUAUUCGUAUAUACAACAACAAUAAAAAAACUGUAAGUUUCAUUUACUUGUGGUUGGCUACAUAGAUCUUUUAUCUCCAUUGAGAUUUGUGAAAAGUUAUAUGUAGUUAAAUUCAGAGUAUCUAAAUUUUUAUUUAUAGUUUCCAUUAAGGUCUUUUUUAGGUUUUCUAUCAACAUUAAUGAUCUCUUUAGACUAUCGCAUUUGAAUAUUUCCUAAGCAUAAGCCCGUACCAUUUUAAAUGAUUUUAUCUCAUCUUAUCCUUUAUCGAAACAAUACUUUUAUAAGUAUUGUUGGUCUUAUAAUUAUUUUAUAAUUUUUUUAAUUACCUUUGAUGAUUAUACAAAUACCCUUCCUUGUUUUAACUAUUCCAUUUUUAUUCUAUAACUAAUAUCCUCAUUAAUCUCUUAAUCUUGUUGAAUAGUUGAUCCAAGAUACUUAAAACUUUUAUUUAAAUGGAGUUCUUAUCCAUCUAACUAAUUAUAUUCUCAUGUUUAUUUCUAUAAUUAUUAAAAUUAUAUUUUAUAUAUUAUUCUAAGAGUUUUAAUCAUACUUAAUCUAAAAUCUUAGUUUCUAAGGCUAGCCUCUAUAAUUAAGUUUAUAAUUAAUUUCAUUUAUACUUUUAUCAAAUAAGAUAAUGUCUUUAGUAAAUGAUAUACACGAAUUGACUAGUAAGUUUAUCUAUUAUCAAUAUGAAAAUAUAGGAACUUAAUAUGGAUCUUUGAUAUAAUCUUAUGCUAAUAGAAAAUUCACUAUAUACAUUCUUAUAACAUUAAUAGUUAUAUUAUCAUAUAUAUCUUUAAUGACAUCAAUAUAAUUAGUGAAUAUAUAUUUCUUUUCUAAAAUCCAUCAUAAUAAAUCUCUAGGAAUCUUAUUAUAGAUUUUCUCUAAGUCAAUUAAAGCUAUGUUUAAUUUUUUUUUCUUUUUAUAUAUUUUCAUUAAUUAUCUUAAUAAAUACAUAUUUUUUAUGAUUAUUUUUUUGGCAUAAAAUUAAAUUAUUUUCAAACAUAUUUGUUUUAAGUUAGAAUGAUUUAUGAUAUAUAUAUAUAUAUAUAUAUAUAUAUAUAUGUUUAAAAUUAUUUGUGCUUGAACUUAUGAUCCAAUAAGUUGAUCCAGUAAUUUCAGUAGUAAUCCAGUGAUUCGAGGGUUGAUGGGCUCAACACCCAAUCGGGUUCAGAUGACUCCUCAUAUAACAAAAGCUUCUUACUCUUAGACUGCAGGUCUUCGUGGCAAAUGCUCUUCCGGUAGACGCGCCUUAUUGUGUGUGACCUCAGCAUCCAGUCACCCAUGCCCGCCUGUCAGCUCCGUACCAUUGGGGAUGGACCACCUGAGAUGACAACGAGACACACCAGAGUUGCUCACAAGCUGGCGAACCAACGUGCCUGUGACAAGUAGCCAUAUCACAAGCCAACAGCAGAGGCAGCUUCCCCCACCCCCGUCUCCCCAAGCUUUUCUCCACCCCUUCAGUCAAACAAUGUGAUUGCUUCCUCGUGUAACAUCGAAUCAUUUCGUCAUGUAAUGGAGAGGAAGAUUUGGCAUUUCUUUCCCGUGCUCCAGCUUGAUCUCUUUUGGGGCGUUAACCUGUUAUGAGAAUCGAACAGAGUGUGACUACACAGGCAUGCAGCGACUCACCUUUAGCUUUGUUUUGCUCUCUUAACAGGGCUACGGGCCAUGGGGCAAGACAAAGGCGCUGCUACUUGCUUCGUACCAUCGCGAUAAAGACGACAGAAAGGCAGAUCUCUGUGAUUUGUCUUCAAUCUCUCGGUGGAGACCCACAUAAAUUGAAAACAGAGGUUGAGGAUACUGUGCCAAUGCUUUAUUUGCUUUUUAAGAUAAAAUUGUAAAAUAUUUAUUGUAUUUUCUUAUUUUUAAUUAAUGUAUAUCGUUGUGGUUAAUUAUUCGCUGGUUGCUUAUCAUUUGAUCAUUAGUUAUUUCUCUAAAUAACAUUAAUAUUCUUCGAAACCUUAUUAUGAUAAUAAAAACAUUCAUAUAUUAACUUUAACUAAUUAUGAUUAAAAUGAGAUAAAUACACAUUAAAAUCUUUAUAUACAUUUUUGCUGCAAUGCAAGUUAUAAGAUUGGUGGCGAAAUAGUUGUUGAUGUGGCUCAGUUGUCGAAGUACAUGGGACUAAUGAUGACUACAGUGUCAUUACAAACCAAUAUUACUCCCACCAAAAAGUCUAUGACCUGUGAAAGAGUUCGUGAGCUAAUGAGUGACCGAGUCACGAGUGACACAGUCCACCUCCAAAGAUUCAGCUAUAUACCGGCCUUUCCCCCCUCUUCCUUUCUAUUCCAUCGAAGGGGCAGGAAGGAGGAGAGCGGCGGGAAGUGACACGAAGAGCCGAGCGAUGAGCAAGGCAGGCAAUCCAGGUCUGAAGCAUCGCUUCGCUCGGGCUCUUCUCCGUUCCUCUUGCACCACCUCGGCGACCACAACUGCUUCCGAUCUAAUCAAGCUCUCAACCGACGCUCCUCCACGCCAAGAGCCAGAGUCCUGCGCCCGGUGCCGCUCCUACAGCCGCCGCUGCACGCAUCGCAUCGCUCCCGUCGUGCAGGUAUCCAUGGAGAUGAAGGCCAAGAAGAAGGAGAGGAGAGUGACCGAGAACGGAGAUCUUUACGAUACCGGAGCAAGAGAGGGGAGGAAGUGCCCUCCCGCGUCACCGUCUUCUCCCAUGAGGAACUGGUAUUACUGCUCUCGCGACAAAGACGGGAAGCAGAAAGCUCAUGGGACGAAGGGAAGCAGUAGACGAACCGAAACGAGGAAGCUGCUGCCGACUGGUGAUGGAUUUAGCAGCUCUUCUUCGUUGGAUUGCAACGACGAGCUUGGUCUCUUCAGCGAUGAUGACGAAGAAGAGGAAGGGUCAGGCACUCUGUUGUCGUCGAAGAGCUUCUCCUCGGACUCAUCCGAAUUCUACUGCAGCAACAGGGGGACGAGGAACAAGGCGACGACGACGACGAAGAAGAGAAGGAGCGAGAGCUUCAAGUCCACCCGACGCCCACCAAGAAGAGGCGACCGCGGAAGCAGUAAGCCAUGGCCAUUAGCGGCCCGCAGUUCCUCGACGGAGAAGAAGGCCGGAUUUGCCGUCGUGAAGAACUCCAGAGAUCCAUACAUGGACUUCCGGAGCUCGAUGGUGGAGAUGAUCGUGGAGCGGGGGAUGAGCGGCGCAAGCGACAUGGAGGACCUCCUCCACUCCUACCUUUCCUUGAAUUCACCUCUCCACCACCCUGUGAUCCUAGAGGCGUUUGUCGACGUUUGGGAAGCGAUGUUGGCUGAGCAAUACAUGUAAUGUUGGUGAUGUUCCGGCAAGGCCGCAGAUCGAUCGAUAAACAUCUCUGCCAUUGUUCUUCGAUGUCUGUUAUUGAAAUUUUUUGUUGCGGUUCUGUUCGAAAGAGUUGGCGUAGCAAUCACAUCUAUGUUCUCAUGGUACGAGAAAUAUCCAAAGAAAUGAAGAGAUCCAUCAAACUCCAUAUGCUAAUCAACACACACCCAAGUCAGCUAAAGGUUAAUAAGACAUCGACACAUCAGACGUGGUUGGAUCUGCUCUUAUCUGCUGAAACAAUGGCAUUGAGCAACCAGAAGAUACCCCUCUCUCUCUCUCUCUCUCUUGCUUGGCUGGACAUGCAAGGCGCAUCGUCCUCGUGCUGCUGUGGGAGUUGUUAUUUCUUGUGGGCUGGUGGGAUGGCGUCAAGAGUGUUUUGGACUCGCAUGGCAUGGCAUGGCAUGGGAGAAAACAGCUGCUGGUGCGGGAAGAUUGGCAACGGGAUUCACGCAGACGGGGCGGAAUUGCGGAUCCCGUGGAUGCGACACAUGGUUUUGGGGAGGCUUCACGGGAGAGGCGGCCGCAGCUUCGUGAGCCAUCAAAGACCGUCAGGUAUUUCUCCUAUGAAUUAUUAUUAUUAUUAAUAUUAUUAAAUAAAGUAUUCUUUUGCAGUUCAGUCUGUUUAAGAAAUAAUGAUGUUAUAUUAUUAAUUAUCCACUCAUCAAUCUCAAUAAAAUGAAUUAAAAGGACGUCAAGCCCCAACAUAACCUGGAUCAGACCCUAGUAUAGUAGUACAUUCAUCAGACCCUUAUAAGUUAAUCUUAAUCUUAUCCACUUUCAAUAUGGGACUAAUCAGAGGUGUUACAAAGUGAUACGUCUCAGAUCUCAGGGUUUGAGUGAAGACAGAUGUAAUACAUGUUUUUUAUUUUUUUAAGUUAAAAUCUUAUUUUCUUUACUUAUCUUUGAAUAAAAAAAUGAAAAAAAAAACUCUCUAUUUUAUGAUCGGAGUAAUUAAUAAACACUAUACGCACUCUUACUCUCACAGGGCCCCACAGCACAAGACCGGCCCUUUUCCUUCUCUCCAGCAGCAAUAGCAACAACGGCGUGAGCGGACCGGCAAGAAGUCGAAGGUUCAAUGUAGGGUGUGGUGUGAACGGGUAAGUGAAGUAUUAUUAUUACUCUUCGGUCAACGGUCCCGUGCUCCCAGUCUUCCUCCUGGCCUCUCUCGGACUGCCGCGCGUCCCGUGCCACCCUUUUCUUCCGCCCGCCACAGCCGCCGCCGCCUCCUCCCCUCGUCUGAAAGCGAAGCCCCGGAAUCCCGUUCCUCUUCUUCGUCUCUUUCAAGCCCUGCCGUCGCUCUGCGUCCGCUCCUCCCAUCAGUCACCGCGGCUAAAUGUGAAAUUUCGUUUAGUGGGUUCGAGCUCUGCAUUCCCAUGGAUAGAUCAAAUGACGCCAUCAGACACUGUGGGACUCGCAUUACAUAGAUAGAUUCACGGCAUCUUCUAUAAGAUCAGCAAUGAUCGAUGUAGUGGUACACUAAUAUAAUUUAAUGGGAGAUAUAGGAAAAAAGCAAAUCUUCCUCAGGCACAGGAGGAAGAUCUAACCAUAGAUUUUUUAGCUAGAGAAAUCCUCGGUCGAGCGAGGAGUACGGGAAGGCAAGUGAUGAUGCUGCCCCUGAGCUCGUCCCCCUGAGAUUACACUCGGGUUGGGAUCUCACAGAAAGACCACCGUAAUCAAAACUGCUAAUCCCUAAAGGGUCAAACGUCGUUGGUUCCAUCGCUGAAACCUCACCGAAGGGCAGCAAGAUUCCAUGAUCUUUCGGAAGAGGAAGAGCAGCAGAUAGACGCAUCUUCUUCUUCUUCAUGGACGCCUGCUGCUGCUGCUGCUUGGAUUGCACGAGUCUUUGCAGGAGGUUGGGAUCCUGGGCUGCUUUAACGAGGAAGGACAUCAGUUGCUGCGGCCUCCUCUCGGUGGCCUGCAGUCGCCUGCUCAUCACCGUGACCUCCUCAUCCAGUGCCUUCUGCUCCUGCCGCAGCCUAUGAAGCUCUUGCAGUAACACCCGCUCUUCCUCCCCCUCCACGCCGUCCGUGCUGCUGCUCCCAUGCAACCCGCCUUCGCUUUUCCCCCUCCUCGUGACCAGAGGGAGGAGGUGAGUCUGCCCUUUGAGGAACGACUCGUGCGCGAACUCCCAUCGAUCGGGAUCCACCUUCCGAAACCCCUGUACACAAAGCAGACGGAGAAACACGCACGUAUCAGUUUGACGUGAGACGACGUCGGAAGCGUUGCGGCGAAGGAAAGAUUAGGGCGGCCGACGCGACGUAGGUGUUCAGCUGGCGGAUGAAGCUGGAGAAGUUGCGGUGCUUGAAGAAGGAGGGGAGGAGGAAGCACGAGAAGUCGUUGGGGUCGACCACAACAAAGCUGUUGUUCUUCUUCCCCCACCGGAUCAAGAAGUCGGAGCUUGGAUCCUCCACCAUCUCAUACGUCUUUGCUACGAAUGGCGCUACUUGUUCUUGGCUUCCAGUGCAAGCUCUGCUCUUCUCUUCCAUCCUAAUCUACUCUAUGAUUUCAAUCUGCAGACUCUCAGACCUUCUCCUCCUCCUCUCUCUCUCUCUCUCUCUCUCUCUCUGUCUCUGGGCUAUGCUUGCUUACUUAAAAGCCAUGAAAAGCCCAAUCACUGUUGAUUGCCGGACUGAUGGGGAAGAGGGGCAGUUUAGAGUCUCUCUGUCGUCGAUGGAGAACCAACUGCUACUCUUUAUGUUCUCCAUGGAUAUCAAGGGUAGAUAGAGUUCACCUGUCUCGCAUGAGACAAGGAACAGUUCCCCUCUCAUAAGGUCAUGACUCAAAUCCAUCUCCAUAACAUCAGUCGGAUUGUACUGGUCCCACCAAAAAAUUCACUUUUUAUAUUUUAUUCUUUACGGCAUUCUUUUUUUUGUCCCUAAUAUCUGAAUAUCCUCAGCUACCUAUCAUUUUAAAAUAUUUUUAUUAAAUUAUAAUUUUAGCAUAUAUUACUGAAGCAUCGUAAAAAUAUUAUAAUUAGAUCGAUUCACCUUAUAGACCCGUAGUUAAUUGACUAUCAAAUCAAAAUAUUUCAUAGAGUGAGAGUGCAAAAAAAAAAUUUAUUUUUAAGAAUAUAUAUAUAUAUAUAUAUAUAGUGAUGAUUUUACUAUUUGAUUAUGAAUAAAGACUUGAUUAGGGUGGGUCCAUGAACAAGUUAUGGACUGGUAUUCUUUAAAACUGUUAGAAAAAUAUGUAUGUUUUGAGAAAGGACAAAAAGAAAAUUGAUAUUACUAAACAUUAAAAAAAAUGGAAUGACAUAUAUUAAUUAAUAGCUUAUUAUUUUGGGUCUAACCGGUGAUCUAUCUCAUAUAUGUGAGUUAGUUCUAAUAAAUUUAAUGCAUAGGUCAAACUUACAAAUUAUUGAAAAAUUAUGUGAGAAAGAGUAAAAAAAAAAAUCAGGUAUUGUUUUUUGAAAAAGUUGAUAUAUGUUGAAUAUGAUUCCUAUGUUACUAACUUAAGCUUUGAGUAACAUUAGUUUCCUCAUAAUCUAUAGUAACGAGAGCUGGCUAGGCCUCAUGAUCUAAGGGAGGCCGGAAACGAUAGCUCUCAUGUACUGUACUCAUAAGGAUUCGAUGGAAGUGUACAUGAAUCCGUAACAUUCGUUCCGAUCUCUAAGGUUCCGAAAAGUACAGGUUUUAACUCUAUUAGGGUUCCACCUUCUAACUCGAUGCUCCGGUGAUGCUAUCAUCACAUGAAUCCUUGGCUGUUGCUGACUCGAAGGAAAAAGAAGAUGAAGCCAAUGGAUAUGGAGCUCAACCCAUUGCUUGUCUGCUUCCAUCCUACUUAUAUACCUACUUGAAACUUGUAACUUCUGCUCAGGAUCGGGAUGAAGGUUUUACAGACCAUUUUUACUGACUGGCCUCUGAGAGAGAGAGAGAGAGGGGAUGAAGACCAACCCAUUAUUACCCCCAAGAGCAUUGCAAACAACCUGUUGAAAUAUGCUACCCUAUCAUCAUCAUCAUCAUCAUGUCCUGGGAGCACUGUGCUGCUCGGUGCAUGACUUGGUGCCCAAGUAUUCUGUAGAUAGCACAGGACAGCAGAGCUCGCUAUCAGCAACCAACGCAUCACCAUGAAGGCUUAAACAGUUUGACCGGCCCGAGAGAUGACAUCAAUGUGGCCUACCAAUCCAGCAUCGGUGAUCUCCGAGUUAGAUAUACGUAAACAUGCUCCAUUGCAUUGUUUGUAUGCAUAGCCAUUAACUAUUAGCAACUCACUGUGUCGUGGCUUGAAAUUGAAUGCUGGACAGUGAAGCAUGGAUUUCUCAUGUCCACUUCUUAUUUUAAUCGGCUCAACCAAAAAUGAAAGCCCCCCCCUUCGAUUGCUGAUAGCUUCUGUUGCAAUGUCGAUGUCUUGCCGACAAACCUUUUUGCCUAUUUCGCAACAUUAGAAGCGUUCCAAUUCCAAUUCCAAUGGCCUGUGGGACUUAGAAAUUAUCAUUUAAUUAUACUGUUCCUAAGCCAAUCGAUAUGUGUUUGGAAGAAUUCCAUUGCGACUGUCCAACGUGCGUUGCACGUGCCUUCGGCUCGCCGAUUGAUCUCAGGGUCUCACUUAUUGUCUCUCGAUCGGUUGCGGGGCCCUUCUUCCUAGCCAAUCACCAGACGGAUGGUCACCUGGGGAUCGUCAAAUUGGUGGCGACUAGGGUCCGCUUUCAAACCUCUCAGGUGCGGGAGGUUGGGACCCACCCCCAAGGUUUCCAAAAUCUUCUAUCGUCUACGUGUCUCCUCUCCUUUCCUCUAUCUUGUGUUACGUGUCCGCACCGCAUUGGACGUUUGUAGUCAGUUUCAGCCACCACCUGUGUUACGUGUCCGCAUCGCAUUUAAAGUUUGUGGUCAGUUUGUGUAGCCACUAAGUUGGAACUCGUAAUAUGACCAAUCGUUAACUGCCACGAGAUAGAUUGAAUGGUUGUUCGACCGGGGAGAGUAACGGUGGACGUUACAAAGGAAGCGCCGUCCGCUGGACGUUAGAGAUCUUUUCUCUUUCGGACGACUUUGCCCUUGAUUGAUCAGACGGUCCUGAUAGCAUCUUCCGGUGAUAAAGACCGCUCUCAUUCGCCCACGCACCUUUCGUGAUUCCCACACCUUGCGGAAGAAUCCGGAGAGAGAAAAGGGGUUUUGAGGAGGCGAUUCUGGCCAUGGCGACGGAGCAGCCGGGGGAGACGCUCAUCGAGAAGAUAAAGGAGAAGAUCCACGGCGGGGAUUCCUCCUCCUCGGACUCCGAUGACGAGAAGUCGAAGGCGUCGGAGGUGGCGGAGGCUGUCAAGUCCAAGAUCUUCCGCCUCUUCGGCCGGGAGAAGCCGGUCCACCGGAUCUUGGGUGGCGGAAAGCGUACCAUCUCUUUCUUCCUUCCUUCCCCACCUCUUAACGCCUUUCUUUUCCCGUCUUUCCUUUGUGGUUUCUUUAGAUCGGUUUGAACCGGGUCUUGGGUGGUUUGAUCGAUGAGUUGAUACUACCCGAGAUCAUGGAGUUCUUAGAGGUUUGCGGGGCUCUAAUGUGAUCUGUCGGAUCUCUCGCUAUGUUACCUACUCCGGCUGCGGUUUACUUAGGGUUUGCGUCUAUUUUCUUGAAGAGGAAAAGAAAUCGAUGGUCAACUUUCGCCUUUAAAAUUAAAUGGUUAUCAAGAACGGACAACCCCAAUCCGAUCUUUUUGUCUUGGUACUGGUUUGAAGGAACAUGAAGCCCUAACUAGGUUUCUUGAUGUCACUAACGAUUCAGGUCCGGGCUAGUAGCAAAUGUUUUGAUGGAACGUAGAGCCCUCAUCUGUGUUUUUCAUACCAGUGAAGGUCCAGAUCGGGAACACUGGUUGAUCGUUCUGGAAGAUUUCAUCAGAUGAGUUCAUCUGAAUUCUUAAACUAUUUAUUUAGGAAGAUUGUAGUUCCUUUUUCGUCUUGGGUAAUUAGAUAUGCAACCUCCGUAUAAAGUGGGUCUCAUUAAGGGUUUAUACGAUACUGCUUAGUUUGUAAUAAUGGUUGAAUGAUCUAUGGAUCCAGGAUCGUGCUGUUAAUAUGAAUUGAAGAAACUCUGCUGAUUGUUUUGCGCAGCUGCUGAUGUUUUCCUGUGGAAGAACAAGAAAGCCUCGGCCAUUGUACUUGGUGGAGCUACCGCCAUCUGGGUCUUGUUUGAGCUGAUGGAAUACCAUUUACUUACUCUGGUCUGCCACUGCCUCAUAUUGUCCCUUGCGAUCCUUUUCCUCUGGUCCAAUGCCACCACCUUCAUUAACAAGUAAGAUCGUCACUGCAAGAUUUGUGUCCUCUGGUAUGUCUUUGAAUAGGAUGCAACCGUCUGAUUGCUUACCUUAUGUUUUCUAUGGCAGGUCUCCACCUCACAUUCCUGAGGUGAUUAUUCCUGAAGAUUUGUCAGUGAACAUUGCGCUUUCUCUCAGAUACGAGAUCAAUAGGGGUUUUGCUGUUUUGAGGGAAAUUGCAGCUGGACGUGAUGUGAAGAAGUUCCUCGCCGUAUGACACUUGACAUUUUCUUUAAGGGGGUGUUUGGUCGCCUUCAUGUGGACUGUCCCUAAAUCAAUAUUGCAGCAAAUAACCGAAUUGCAAGUGUUUUCUUGUUUGCAAUGCAUCAUACGUACAUUGGACUCUUACAUGCCGCAACUGGACUUGCGAUUUAAAAUAUCACAUGUCGCACUUGCAAGCUAGGUUGCAAUUCAGAAUUGGAUUUUGAUGCCUUCUCCAUCUACAUUAUGUCCCUCUCCUCCUUUAUAUUAGUCCACAUCACCACCUCUGCCUCCUUCCUCUUGGAGUUGCCUGUUCUACCUUAGUUAUAGUUGCAAUUAGCAAAUAUACAUGUGGGCAUGUUCUACCUUAGUUAUAGUUGCAAUUAGCAAAUAUACAUGUGGCCAUGUUCUACCUUAGUUAUAGUUGCAAUUAGCAAAUAUACAUGUGGGCAUGCAAACAAUUGCUCCUGCAACUGCUACUUGCUUUUGCCAAAAACUACUGCUAUUCGUCUGUAUUUCCAUUUGCAUGCAACCGAAUGCUCCUAAAUGAGAUUUUGAAACUAUGAAUAUCUUUGACUUGGUAUUGAUAAUUGAUAUAGUGUUUCGGGUACAGGUUAUUGUUGGAUUGUGGGUUCUUUCGGUCAUUGGGAACUGCUGCAACUUUUUGACCUUGUUUUAUAUAGGUAAUGUGAUCAUCAAAAUCCUUCUAGACUUGCCAUUGGCUUUAUAUUGUGUCUAAAAAAUUUUUAUUUGAUAUCUGUGUGAAGCAUUUGUUACCCUGCAUACUGUACCAUUUCUAUAUGAUAAGUAUGAAGACCAAGUUGACUCGUUUGCGGAGAAGGCAACAGUGGAAUUCAAGAAGCACUAUGCAGUUAUUCAUGCCAAGUAUUUAAGCAAGAUUCCCAGAGGGCCACUGAAAGACAAAAAGGUCCAGUAGGCAAAUAAGGUAUUUUGUUGAUCCUGAAAGUUAUUUGAGUUCCGUGGUUUUACCAUUUUAUUUUUCGUUGAAAAACUCUCGUCUCCUUAGCCCUGAAUUUGUCUGAUCUGUGACAGUUUCUGGUGUGGUACACGGGAGAGAUUCCGGGUUUUCUAAAGUGGGUCAUACUUGUGUUGGGCAUAAUUUGACCAAGCAUGAUCAUUGCAUUGUAUCUCAUGUCUACUAAUGAUUUGAUUCUGUGGAAUCUAUGUUAUACAUGUAAUAUUUGUAAUGUGUGGGUUUGUUAGUAUAAGGAUUUUCAUUGGUUUGUUAAUCAUGUUUUGCAUGCCUUCUUGGAGGAUUCUGUAACCAACCAGAUGUCACAAGAAUUGGUCCAAGCUUGAAGGUUGGUCAAACAUUACUGUGCAUGUCUUCGCAGUUCAAAUAUUUUCAUUGUUAAUUCCUUUUAUGGACUGCGAAUUUCCUGAUCUACUUCUGACAGUUAGAAUAAUCUUCAAUGAGAAUUAGAAUUUUUUUUCAUGAACAAUGGUUACUCUGUGUAAUGAAAAUAUUUGUGCAUCUUCUAGAAAAGCUAGAUGCCAUUUGACUAAUAUAUUUACUUAGCAAGAACAAGAAAACAUUUUAUCAACAAAUAAGUAUGAUAGUCUUGUUCUUCAUUAAUGACUUAAAAGUUAUGAUGAACUGAUCAUUUGAUGAUACUGGAUUCUUAGGGUUGCAUUUUUUGUCACAUUUGGAAUCCUGAUGAGAGGACUUUUGGCUAAUUGCAUGAUCUGUUUGCCUUUUUGGAGUGAUGAUUUCAAAUGUAUAAUCAUUCUUCAUAUUGUUCAAAGAUGAAGAUUUAUGUGAUUGGUUCAAUUUCUGUUGCGGUAACUUUAGAUGGUCCUUUCUAGCAGCCUGAAGUGAAUGUUACUGUUGUAUUUGAAUUUGCUUGUGUAUUUGAGCAAGUUGUGCGUAAACAUAGAAAUUAUAGUAACUUGAUGGUAGGUCCUUUUCUGGUCUACUCCAUGCUUGAUUUCCUUCGAUUUUAAUAAUUCAUUGUUGAUUUCCAUGGUAUUUUAAUCUCGCGCAUAGUUCUUGUCUUCUUUAGCAAAAAGGGGGUACCGAGCUUCGUUAUUUAUUCUCCAAAAUAUUUAGUUUAAUGGUGACCUGCAAGUUUGUUCAGUAAACAAAUAAAGGUUUAGAUAGUUUUAGGAUGAUAACCUGACUUUUAUAGUAAAAAAUAUCAUUUGAAGUUGUGAAGUUUCUAUGAACAUGGAUGGGAGCCCCAAGAAUUAAAUUUUUACUGAUUUCUGUUAUUCAGUCUAAGAGUGUCCGUUCUUAUGCCUUGUAUGGUAGUUAUAUCAAAAGUGCCUAGAAGACGGAAAACAAAUUUAGAUGUGAAGACGGAAAACAAAUUUGACAAGCUCGUCGUAACUCUACGGGGGAACAUUAGAAGAAAAAGACUUUUGGUUCGUUGAGAACGAAAACCUUUCACUGAGAGAACCAUUUGUAUAUUCUACCGGGAAGACAACAAACAUUAAAAGACAAGCCCUUUUGGUUGGCUAGUUUUCCUUUCAUUACCAAAAUAAUUUACAUAUUUCAUCUCUUUAUAUUGAGAUAUAUGUAUUUGUAGUCUGCUAAGUAAUCGAUCAGAAUUCUCUGGAAAAUAAUAAAAAUAAAAAUAAAAUCCCAACCAACACGUGUAGCAAAAAUGCUUUUAAAAUUUUCAUAAUACAUGGGACCCCAGUGGGCUUCUGUCGAUGUGGAAUCGAAUGACCAUUGAUAUACGUAAAAAAAUACCCUUCUAAAUAGAGCCCACUGAAAGACAAAACCACUCACCAAAGGGAGUAAUGCAAGAGAAAAAAAAUCUCUAUCAGAAAAACAUAUGCACAACAAAAGAUAAAAAAACAAUCCUACCAAAAGCCGCUUCUUCCAAAUUUAAGCAAAAAAAUUUAUAAAGAAAAGGCAUUAUAACAGUUUUGUAACUUAAUUCUUUGAAGGAAAAAAAAAGAAAAAAAGAAAAAGAUCACUGUUAUCGUUCAUUUCCGUCCUUUUAUUUCCUUCACCUUAUUCAUUGAAUAGAACAUGCACACCAUCCAUCCAUCUUGACGAGGGGGUGUCCCAUUCACUUGAUUGCAUUGUUUUCCCCCUCCCACAGCUCCCACAAGAAUAGAACACAAAAAAAAAGUAACAAAGCAAAUAAAGAAAAUCAUCUUCCUUCUCUAUUAUUUCUAUAAUUAAUGUUUUAUAAAAUAGACAAGGAUCCAUAUGCCAAACAGAUAGAUAUUCAGAAAACGAGCACACUCAUGUAGAGAGGGGAAUAAAAAAAUUCCGAAGAUGUGGAAUCAGGGCAAUUUGUUAUGGAGAAAGCAUGCAUAAUCAAUCAAGCAGGUCAAUUUAUAGCCGAUGAUAAUAUAAAGAGUGGUGCACGGAAUGAAUCAAAGUCUCCCUGGGCCCAUUGAGCUAGGCCACUUAUGGGUCAGAGCCUGGUUUGAGUCUUUUGGGCGGGUAACUAUAUGAGUUCAGACUAUGUUCGCUGAGCUUGACUCAAAUCAACCCAGAGCAGAAAUAAAGUCACCCCUAAUUCCAAGGUUAUCUCAAUCAGGCCUUGCUCAACUAUAGGUCCUUCCUUGUCCACGAUCAUUGUCCAUCAAGUAGCACCUUAAGCAUUCAUUUCCUACCCUUUCCCUGAGUUCAUUUCCUUGUCGAUAGCUCCUUGAUCAAACAUGACCAUGAGUGGGACAAUUCCAUGGAGGAUGAGUCAUUGCCAUAGCUGGCGAUGGUCACAGAGGGUCACAAACUUCUCAAGAUGUCUAAAAGAGCAUCCGAUAAAGAGCCUAGGCAGCAAGGCGGGUGCCCAUGUGGUGAUGUCGCAGCCAACUUGAAGCUUUCUCUUCUUUUUUUUUUCUUUUUUGUCCCCUCCUCCUCUUUAUGAUGAUUGAUUACUGGCUCUUCUUCUUUCCUUUUUCACUUAUUUUGCAAAAGAAAAAGGAAUAACAAUGGAGAAACCUAGACGAAAAGUGGAUGAAACCAUUGUCUCAUACACAUACCCCCUCCUCCUAUACCAGAUGCAUAAUACCUUAAGAGUCUACUAUUAUUUGCCCUCAGAGAAGUAUUCCAUUAGUAUUAACAGAAUCACACCUUGUCCUGUGUGUACAUGGCAUGUGAGGGCACAGAAAACCAUAAACGCUCUUCUCAAGAGCCAACACACCUUAUUCUUAAGCCAAGCCUGUGAAUCAAGGUGAGAUAAGAGAGUUUGAGGAAUUUUUAUAUAUUUGGAACAGUGGAUCUAACUAUGACAUGCAAGAACUAAGCUAGGAAGCUGAAUGACUAGCAAUUUUACCUAAAGAGGAUAAUGUUAGUAUAAACAAAAGAAAAAAUGCCAUCCAUCAAUUAUGUCGGACUCCAACACACAAAUUAUAAGCCAAAAAGACAAACUUGUCAUAGUAUUUAAGCCAUGAGAGGUUCUUCUGUAAGGAAGAAGAUCACGGCACCCUUGUCCAACAUAAAGCAGCUCUAGUUAUACACUACUGAAAUAACUGAUGCAUUGAUCUCAACGAAAUCCAGAUCUUGACAUCACUUACCAAAAUUUGUCAUUUUGGUGUCAAUCAUCCAAACAUGUUUUCUUUGAUUCCUGGUCACACCGAAACCAGUUUAAUGAUGCACAUGUUUCAUUCAUUUCGAAAAAGAUAAUAUACCACAAGUUUCAUACCCCAUUUUUAGGUGGUUUAGCCCAUCUUUAGCAAAUACGGUUUCACUUUUUGUCCUCCAUUAAGAAAAAUAUGCAAGAUAAAUUUCUCUCAUCCAGUGCAUGCUUGGCAUUCUCACAAUGGAUCAGUGUUGCAUCCUACAUUUUCAGCUUUCUUAAAGGUUCUUCAGGUCAUAACUUCCAUUUUUUUUUCCAGUCAACAUUGACUUUCAAUCAGUGGAAUUCUCAAUCAUUUUUUGUUCAAACAAAGAAACUAAAUCACAAAUCAUUCGCCUUUUCGUUGAAGUUUUAGAUUUUGAUAAUUAGCAUUCUUGAAUUCACUUAAUCGUACCUUCUAAUUUGACAUAUUUUGAAGAUGCACCUUAACGGACAAAUCAUAAUAAGACAAAAGACUACAAUAAGAAGCCAAUGAUGUUUCAAUCAUCUGCCUGUAGAAGAUUCUAAUUGGUGAAGCAUAGCUAAUGUCAUUGUUUCCAGCAUUAUUCAAAUAAUGUCCUAUGAACUGGUUUUGUCCCAAGUUUCGGCUCACAACUACCUAGCCCAUAGCCUGCUAACAAUGACAAUAUAAGUUUAGCUAAAACACAGACAAAUUAUUUCUCCUUGGAACAAAUUAUAUCCUCUCAAAUAGGAGUAUCUCCAGACAACUCCCAACCCUAAAACUUUAAGAAGUGAUUCACUAGUCCUAAUCCUGAAAAAGAGGAAGGUGCAUGCCUCAUGCACUUGCUCAGCCCCAGAUUGUCCUGUAAUCAAACCCAGCCUGCAGCCUACUCAUACAAAAAUCCAUACCUGACCACAAUAUAGGCCAACUUAACGGAAGAACACAACUAAUAACAGAGCAGAAGAGAGAGAUGCAUACACUUGUUUCUUACAAAAUUUUGUAUUUUCACAAAAUAUUGCUUCAGCCAACAACUUAGGUAUCAAUUCUCGGUACUACUGCGUUUAGGUAUGUAAACCAUUUAGGAAUCCGACAUUUACCCAACAAUGUGGGUGGUCUCUCUUUCCAUGCACCACCAUACUAUCAAUAACACAUUUUGACACUUAGACAUCAAGCAACAACCUCAGAAUUUAAAAUAGAAGAUGCAACUCAGAUUACUGCAAAACCACACUCUACUGUUAAACUCCACUGUAACAUGGAAGAGUGACACCAGAAAUUUAGCAUUCAUGCAUGUUGUUAGGAACAAAAUCAAUCAUGACUCUGAUCUUCUCAAUCUAAUUCUUCCUCGGACCACAUUAAAAAUCCUAGUCUACCUUAGCCAAGACCAAUUGUCUGCAAUAUAAUAACUAGUACAAUCUUAACAUCAACCUAGUUGCACCGCAUAAAUCUACCCCUCAAAACCCCUCCUGAAUACAGUAUAUAUGAAUGACAAAGUGUGAACGUUGAUCUGGGUAAUUAUCUACACACUGUAUUUAAUUUUAAGGCAUUGGGAAAACAUGAAAUAAAUAUGGUGGAUGGUGCAAAUAUUAGUCUAAUUUUAAGAUCCUUAGGUUCUUCUCAGUAAGUGUUCAGCACGAGCUUAAAAUCUUAGAUCUAUAGUUCUUGAACCCCAACUAGUAAUAGAUUUCCCCGGCUCUCAAGAUCAUGACGUAACAUAUACUUAGGCCCUUAUUCUUUUCACCAGAUUGGACACAAGAUUCAAAGAAACAAACAACGUUAUACAGAUUCACAAACUGGGAGAAUAGUUCCAACCAUUGACUUUCGGAGGCUCAAAUUUGUUGACAAUAGAUAUGUAGUAGCAUCUUAACUAAAUGAUCAAUUUACCCAGCCAGAAAAGCCAAGUUGAAACAGAGAAAAGACUCAAGGUGGUCCAUCGUUCACAAGACCCUUAGGUUCUUCUGUCAAAUGUUCAGCACCAGCCUAAACUCCUGGAUCUAUAGUUCUUGAAUCGCAUUCAACGAUAGAUUUCCCCAUUUCUCAAGAUCAUGACAUACCAUAUGGUUAGACCCAUAUUCCUUGAUCAGAUUGGCACAGAAGAAUCAAGAAACUACACGAAUCGAUUUAAAAAAAAAAGCGUCGUACAGAUUUAUAAACUGGGAAUACAUCGUCAUGGCAGAAGAGAAUAAACUCCAAGAAAUAACAAGAACCAAGAAUAUGACCACAUAGCAUGGAAGAUUGGGUACCUCGUCCAGGUGUCCGGAUCGACCCAUUGGCGAUGGGGAGCCGCAUGGUGGGGGGAGAAACCCGAGACAUCUGCCUGCGAGAGAACCGACAUCCCCCCGCCCCCUUGCGCGGCAAGACCAGUGGAUCCGCGGUGGCGAUCGUACCCGGUUUCGCCCGCUCCUUCUUGGAUCCAAGGACGUCCGCAGAACUGCGAUCGAGGGAACUCGAAAGAGGGUUUCGAUCGAACAAACUUGGGUGGAUCGGAAAGCAACGAGGAGGGAAAAGGGAUGCAAACCGUUUAAAUCGUGACGACGCUAAUCUUUUUCCCUUCGAAUCCUCGUUUCUUUGCGUACGGAAACCAGAGGGAAACCGGGGGUUUUGUUACCGCGUAGGAACGGGAAUCGUUUCGUCUUCUUAUAUAUGCGGAUACGAAUUCAAUUUGUCGGUCCAUAUUUAAGAAAUAGUCAAGUAGUCCCAUUUAUGGCCCAUUAUAAGCCCAUAUAUGCAUAAUUCGUCGGCUUAUUAAAGCCCAAAUCCAUUUAUGACUCAUUAUAAGCCCAUAUAUGCAGAAUGGGUUGGCUCAUUAAAGCCCGUAGACGCAGGACGCGUGCCGUAAACUACUUAAACCCCAAAACCCACCCACCCCCUGCGGGCCCUAACCAUGGAGUUCUCCGACGAGUGGCGGUCCCUAUGGCCGGUCUCCUCCGUCUUCGCUGCUCCCAUCCUCCGCCCCUCGGCCGCCGCCGCCGCUGAUCCCGUCGGUCCGCUCCUCUUUUCCCCCUCUCCGCUCCCCCCUCUCCCUCUUCUCUCCUCCCCUUCUCUCGCCCUCGACAUCCCCGCCCCGCUCCCUGCCUCCUCCUUCGUCGAAGGCCUGCGCUCCUUCUUCCACUGCCCCGCCAACGAAGCCUUCCUCCCCUCUGCCGCCGUCGACGCCCUGGCCAUCGAAGCCGCGGUCUCCGUCCCUGGCCCGUCCGCCUCCGCCUCCGACCCCCUCCCCUGCAACAACCUCGCCGCCCUCCGCUGCCGCAACGGCUCUUCCAUGGUCCUUUUCUUUCCCACUGGCCCAAACGCCAACUUGAUCGGGUACGUCGGUCUCUCCUUCCGUGGGUUGGCGCCGCCGGAGCUAGGGCUCGAUCGGGACGGUGACGUAUUCAAGCUGAGGGAAGGGUAUAAACACCCAUAUCAUCGGAUAGUGAUGAUGUCGGCGGUGGCCGCGACCCAGUCUUCCUGGGCGCCGGAGGCGGCUUCGGCGUCCCCAGGCAAUCCCCUCAUCGAGGGGUUCUUGAUCGCCACCACUUUGUAUUCCGUGAAUUGGUUUAGCAUCGAGACCAGGGUUACAGGUACGGGUCAGGAGAGGCCGUUCUUGGUUCCGAUGGCGAAGCAGGGGUUUGAAAGCGCUGUGGUGCACGCUUGCUGGAGUCCACAUUUUGUCGAGGAGAGUGCCGCUUUGCUGGAAAGCGGUGACCUUUGCUGGUUUAAUCUGCAGACCAAGCGCGGGGGCACCAUGAGGGUUGCUUUGCCUGGUGAGGUCAAUCCCGGAGAAUGGUUGAGCUGCGAGUUUGGCGGGCAGCCAUGGACUGUGAUUGUUGCCUGUUCUAAAGCUGUUGUCUUGGUUGAUCUGAGAUCCACAAAAGGCACUGAACACAAGGUUUUGGCUCACAUCAAGAUGUCAAGUUCUCUAUAUGUUUCUCCUUUGAUAGAAAUGAACGAUCGGUUCAUUGCUUUUGGUAAGGCGAGCUACAAUGAUUUCCACAUUGCAUUGGUGACAGAACAUCGUUUGCUUCUGUUCGAUGUGAGGAAACCAUUGGCUCCUCUAUUGACAUGGAACCACAGAAUGGAUUCCCCACAUUUUAUUGCCAUGCUUAGAUUGUCGGAGUUGAGGCCAUCAAAUGAGUUCAAAUGGGCCUCGGAAUCUGGUUAUGUCAUCUUGAUCGGUUCCUUUUGGAAUAAUGAGUUCACUUUGUUUUGCUAUGGGCCUCGAAAGGCUGGAUGCUUAGGCAAUUCUUCACUUUUUGCCUGGGAGCUUCCUUCGAGUCUGCCUUUGUCUGAUAACAGAUGUGAAUCUGGUGACAGCUUUGUGAGAGAGAUUUUUUCAGCAGAGAACUCUGCAUAUGGUUCGGUGUGGCGACAAAGGGAAAAGAAGGUUGUGGGUCUGUGCAUUGUCCCAAAUGAUAUCUUCCCUGUUGAUUCAGAGUCGGGUGGUGGAUUUUCCCUAAUUAGACUUUCCUUGUCUGGAAAGUUGGAAAUGCAGAGAUACCAUGCAUCAUCAAAAUUAUAUUGUCAGGAGACAAACUUUACAGAAGCAGACCAAUUAAAGGAGGUCGAUGAUUCAGUUAUCAAUUCUGAGGGACAUGAAUGUAGAAUGUCCAGCAGAUGUGAAUUUUAUAGGCUGUGGUAUCUUUCUGAAUAUAUGAAUGGCAAUCUUUCCAAUGCUUUGGCCAUGCGUGGCCCCCAAGCUAAUUACAAAGAAACUUGCCAAAUUUCUUUGGGUCAUGAUAUGAAUGAACUUAUUAGCCACAUCCUGAAGUCUUCGAAUCUCUCUAUGUCAGCUUUUGCGAAUGAAGUUAGCAUCCCGACCAGCAUCUUUGAAGUCGCAUGCAGGAGGACACUAAAUUGUCUUCGAUCGGAUAUUUUGCCAUUGGCUUUUUCAAAAUACUCAGAUCUGUUCCGACUUGAUUGGGCCUCCACUUUUGAAUUCUUAGAAAUCCCUUGGUCAUUGUCUCAGAGAAGAUCAUUACCUUUCUUUGCUGGGAAACCUUCAAGAAGAAGCGAGAAAUGGUCGAGCAAAACAUUGUUUGGAGAUGCUCUUGUUGGUCCAGUACUUCCUGUUCCCGUUCUUCUUGCAUUGCAACAGAAUGAUAAAAAGGAUGGGUCUUUCACCUUCAAAGACAAUCCAGAUGAUGACUUACUGGAUUAUCAGUGCAGAACUGUUCUCAAAGAUGUUUUACCAGAAAUUUCUAUUGCAGACACUAGAAACUGCAAUGGAUGGGGUGCCACAGAUGAGCUGCAAGCUGAGAAAUCUUACUUUCUUUAUGAACCUACACAAGCACAUACUAGUUCUGCAAGCGAACGAACCAACAUUGAUGCUGCUUCCAAGGUAAAACAAGAACCAAUAGGGAUGCAACAAAUGAUGCAAGCCUGCUCUGCGUCUUAUAAAGAUGAAACUUUUACUACAUUUAUUUGUGGAGCUGCAGACAAAGCAUCCAAGCCAGAUUCUAAAACUGACCAAUUUGUGGAUGAAUUGUUUGAUAUAAGCCCAGUCAGGCUGGAUUUUGAUAUAACCCAAGUGGCACUUCAGCCAGCAGAGCAGAAAAUUUUCAAGUGUUUGAAGAAACAGUUCUCCAAAUGGCAGGAAAAUUAUAAGCCAUAUCGAGAUUUCUGUGCUUCCUCUAAAAUAUAAAAUGAGCUUCAUGGUAUCUUCAUGCAGUUUAGUUUGAUUGGUGGAUCUAAUGUGUAUUAGAUUUUGUCACUGUACAUUAUAGAAGUGGCUUCAAAAAUUUAAUUUGCUGAAGAGUGGUGCUUGACCUAGCAGGUAAAGAAUCCAUUUCCUGUCCAUUUAUGUAGAAUCAAACUUUUAUGAUUUCCUCAUACUAAAGCUUGAACAAAAUUUUUUUGCUUAACUAAUCUUGAAUGGCGUUUGGUUUAGGGAAAGAUUAUUGUCAACCUUACUGUACCUUCACUUAAAGUUUCCAUCUAUGCAGCAAUCAUAUGAUGCACCAUCAAGCAUCUUCAUGUUUCUCUUAGGAAGUAAACUAGGUGUACAUCAUUUAUUGCUCUGUCCCUUCUCUUAGGAAGCAAACUAGUUCUUUUAAGUUUACAGUGCCCUGCAACAAGUUCUUUCCAUAUGUCCUGGAUAAACCCCUUGCUAAUGCCUCCUUAUGUAGAGAUUUCGGUGGCAAGUGUGUAGAAUUUGACAUGACAAUGCCCUAAUGUAGAGAUUUCGAAUGUCAAAGCCUUUCAUGUUCUGCAGCAUAUCAGGCAUCAUGAAGAGCAAAACCUGUAAUCAGACCACUUGUGGGACCUUAUCAUAGAUCAUGUUUAUUAUGGUCAUGUGUUAUUACUGAUGUUUAACAAGUUAUUUUCUUUGCAUUUUCAUUUUCCUUGUUGGCUUUUGGAAUAUGCUUAUGUGAACCUACUGGUUGAAUGUUUCCAGAUGCUUGUAAUUGCUGUUGCAACAAUGGCCCAGCAUUUGCACUCUGAGGACUCUAUUCAAUCCCCUGGUGUGUUAUGCUGCACAAGCAACUCUGGGUUUUUGGUCACUCACCAGAUGCUGUGAACUCUGCAGCCCUCUUUACAAGGAAGAUGAAUCAAUCUGUUCGCAGAUAGCCACCCCUCUGCUAAUCCAUCAAUCUAACAUUUCUUGUACGAUCUUAACCCGAAAAUGAGACAUGAUCCAUUAAUUUUUUAUUCUUUAAAGUCCCAUUCCAUCAUAUUUUGUAUGGAGUAUCAAACAAGUAACAAUCUUGUAGCUAAUUAUUCUUCCAUGUAAUUUGAUUAUUGCUAGAUGGGAAACCAUUUGUAAGCUUUGUAUAUUACGUGAGUUCUGAUGCAAUUUGUUGGUUCCUGAAUUUGGAAAGUGGGUCAUUGCUCAAAACCUUCAACUUCUCGGUGAAGUCAUCAAGUUUGGAGUUGCAUGGAUUUGCUCUUGCACAAAAUCUGUAAUUAAAAUCUUACAUGAGGUUGGGUUUUUUGCAAGUUUGUUUUUGAACAAUUACUCCACAUGUCAAUUGUAUCUUUAUAUUUAGAUUUGCUUGAGGUAAGAUUAUCUUCAAAAGAAUGUUGAUUUUUUGUAGAGUCAUGAAAUAAAUGUCAGGCAAAUCUGUCUCUGCUCAAUAAUCUCAUUUAUCAUGUCAUCAUCAGAUCAAAAUCUACAAACAUGUAUUAAAAAAAAAAUAUAAAGUAUAUGAAUAAUGAUUCAGCUGUUUGGGUUUUAAAGGUCUCAUCGCAGGAUGGAUAAACCUCUCUAACUUCAAUCUAUCGUCAUCGUAUCUUUAGGCUGGUAAGGUUUACGUGAAAACCAACCCUUUCGGCUUCGAGGCGGCGGCGCGGUCCAAAAUCCGACAUCUCUACAUCGAGCAUUUGCGUGUUCUUCACUGUUGGUUCCAAGUCCGACCACAGCGAGGCAGCUCCCGACCGGCAGCGCGUAACGAGGCUCUUCUGGUCCACACGACAGCAGCAAGCCACUCGUUCUCAAAGUGGAAGGUAGAUUACCUGACGACGGAGCAACAGGAGGAAGCAGAGUGGAGCAUGGAAACAGCACAUCCCUUCCGCCAUCACCUCCCAUGUGACCCACUUGCCGCUGCACUCGUUCUUCCAGCCUCUGGUUUUUGGAGGGGUUGACGCAGAUGCUGCAAAGGGAUGUUCCCAUAGUUUUCCGAGGACAAGCAGCUGGUCCUCGGACUCCCACCCUGCAUGAUGGAGUCCGUGACAGUGAAUGCGCUGAGCCUUGACGACACGCAAAUCAUUCAAGCCAUCUGACCCACCCAUGGCACUCUGUGAGUCGUUCUUUUCUCCUCCUUUUCCUAGCUUUUGGUCUAUUGUAUCAAAUCAUGCUGCUUCUGGCCUCACAUUUACAAGGACCACUUUAUUAUCUCGAGUAGAACACAUACUGCGUAUCACACGCAAGUUCAUCCACCUCAUUAGUGUCAGGGUGAUGACCCCAUCCCCACACUGUUCGAAGAAGAGAAAUCUAGAGAGAGGACUGAAGGAAGAACCACUCAGGUGUAUCAUAUAUAUGGUACGAUUCCUUAGUAGAAGAAAAAGAAAUGAGAGCUAAUCCUAUUGGCUCCAAGAGAUGAUACUGAUCUGACUCAUGGAAAUUUUGGGGUUUAUUCCCCAUCACUUUCAUGUCUUUACUUCGAUAACUCGAACGGAUAUUCUACAGGACAUAGCUCGCUUUCGCAUAUAGAAUGGAUGAAAGCUUCUCAGUUUUGUCCCCCAGACAUGUGAGCUUACUUGCACGCCUAGCUUUGGUUGCCCGUCACUUUCCUGCUCGUUUGGUAGCUGUAAAGCCACCUGGGGCUGACAGAAUUGAUGUCCUACCGUAUGAUUUCUUUACGGCCAAUGAUCUUUUCUUUGGAGCAUAUAAAGCCGAUGACGUGUGUAAUGCUGAUCUUGUUCUUUACAUCCGAAGAAGAAGAAGAAGAAGGGAAAACGGCUGUUGUCUAUAACUUUCUUUUCUCAGGUCGGUGAGGAUGUUGUGAGCUUGAGGAACAUUCCAAAUUCUUGGGACCAUAGACAAUGCAUCUGCACGCUUCAGUCUGAUGCCCGAAUGAUCAAGUAGUGAUUAACAUGAAUUCUGUGUUUGGCAAACCUUUACUACUUGAUCCUAUUUUAAGCUACAAUAUUAAUAACAAUAGGUCCUGCUUCUUGUUGAGAUCCACAUUGCUUCUUGUUGUUGUGCCUUAUGCUUCAUGUUAGAUUCUGCAGACUGCGGUUUGUGUCCUGGAAGUCGUGUAAAAGGAGUGCUUUUGAUCACUGUUGAACCUCCGGGUUUAUUCUGAUGGAAUUAGUCUUCCUGCAGGAGUGAGGUGGAGAGGUUGUCGAGUCUUGCAUCAGAAAGGAAGAAUUAUGCCAUUCAUCUCCAUCAGUAGAUGAUCAUCAUCUGACAAACGACAGGAAGCACAAAAAUCACAGGAACAAGAUGCCCUCCUCGGCUGUUCUUCUCUUCCCAUCCUUCACCAACAUAGAGAGUCUGGUAAUAUACAGAAGCGUUGCACAGACAACUCUACUCGCUAAACCUUCUUCACCGUGACAUGUUGAAAGAAUUCUUGCAAUGGAGGACGGCGUCGUGUAUAGCUGUUUCAGUGCCCGCAUCAACCGUCGUCUUGCCGCGAUACGACUCACAGCUCGAGAACGCAUCACUGUGCCUCGAAGAUGAUCCGAUCGACUCCAUGCAACUUGCUGCCGAGCUCAACCUGGAGCGCCUUGGCUUCCUGAUCGAUACCAAUCCCUUGACCUUCCGACAGAAAGGCAGCAGGAAGGGUAAGUACUUCCCGAGGAACCUCUUGGAAGACCCUGCAGAGGCACCAAAGAGAGGUAAAUUCCGCUUGGUGCUCGUCGAGAACUCGCUCUUCGAUGAGCCGGAGCUCGAAGAAGCAGGAAGGCUUUGCAGUGGCCCGCAGAGUGGCGAAGAAGUGGACGACAUAGGCCGUCUCGGUGCUGCACAGUCGUAGCAUGACCGGAACCGGUUGCUUCGGGAGAGCAACGUUUUGGAUGAGUCCACCGAGAGUGAUCUCAGUAGAACCGGGUCCACAGGAGACUCGGAGAUGGCUGCGGCCGUGGGUGGGUGGACGAGGUGGAGCGGCAGAAGUAGGCCGUCGGAGAUGAUCUGAUCUGCAUGAACCAGCGCAGAAGACUGAGGUGUAGGGAGAUGGAAGUCGAAAUCGAGGGAGUCGGUCUUCCAACGCCUGGAGAACACUUUGGGAUCCACUUCGAUGAAGCAGCCGCCGUCCUCCUGGGCGGAGUCGAGAGGGGACUUGACGACGUUCAUCAACCAGCUAUAAGAGAAGCUGUCAUUGGUGGAGUGCUGUGGGAUCUCCAUGGAAUCUCUAUAGCUCCAAGGCUUUUAGCUUCAGGGUUGGAGAUGGCAUGCGAGUGGGGGAAGACAUGAAGAAAUAGCAUGGUCUGAUGAAUACCUACAAAGUGCCUCCAUCGACUAGAUCGGGAAUCUCCUGAUGACAUCAAGAAUUCUUUGGAUAAUUCAGAUAGUUAAAAAUCCAUUGGGGAUGAGUUUGACAUAUCACUGAUUCAACCCAAAAACUUCAAACUUGUUGAUUUUAUCAAUGUAAAACUAUUCUUUUGGUCAUCUUUUCUAAUCUCUCUUUAUUGUCAAGAAGGAGAGGAUGCAUUGAAUUGAAUGGUCGUUAAAGACGAUGACAUCAAAUCAUAUCUGAAAAGAUCCAAAUCAUCAUUCAUUAAAGCAAACCUCAACAAGAGAUUAUUUAUGACAUGCAAAUUGCUUAGCUAUUAAUCUUUGGGAUCAGCCACUCGAAGCAGUUCAUGGGAAAAAUCCAAUGGAUCUUUAUAAUUCUUUAAGCUUUUCUUUCUUUGGUAGAAGAUUCAUAUAAUAGUUGCCUUGAUAUGCAUAUCUGGAUUCAACCAAGAAGACAAAGAAGAGAAUUCUGAAUGGAUCAUCACAUGAUUCUUCGAUGUGUAUAUGCUUAAACUAAGCAGCCUGGCUGACUGUUUUGGCACUAUACUCGAUGCUAAUGCCUUAACCACUGGAUAAAAAGGCUCGCUAAGCAAACAGAUGCAUUUACGUGUAAUCUGUGCUGACCGCAAAGUACAAGUGGAUCAUUUUUGCAGGUGAUCGAUAAAAGAACAGCGUUCCCAAUAUCAUAUUUGGAGGUGGUAGGUUGGAUCAUUAGGCAAGUGGAUCAUCCGCUGCAAUGCUUUGCAGAUCUGAACUACAAUCGAAUUCGAUCAUAAAACAUCCAUCCAUCCAUCAACGAUGAUGCAUGCCAUCGAAUUCAUGGUCUAAAUUCACGACUGUUCCAGCUCUGCAAUGCCCGAGAAAAAGGAGGGACGUCCAAAUCCAAUCUUGACUUGUAAUCCAGCCCGGCCUGCGAAGGGACUCAUAGACGGUCCAUUUGUCACAUGGAUCUCUCACGGGCCUACCACAUAUGUGACGCGUGUCAUUGGGCAUGAUGAUGUGUCGUUUGAAUCGGGUGGGCUCUGUUUUGAGUCUUGCACUCCCCUCUCAGUUCGGAGCAGACAAGUCUCUGCAAUGCCAAGCUGGCUCUCGUGCUCCUUCCACUUGGAUCAUCCAGCUGCCAUCGAGCGUCGCCUACCCCGCCCGCGGUUCCCUCGCAGUGUUGGAAUAAAAGAGGAUCCGCUUACCCGCCACGUAGUUGGUGAGGACAGUGGAGCUGACGUGGAACCCACCGUCUCUGGACCAUCUGCUACCUCCACCGGCCACCUUACUCGAGAUGAGAGCGAUGCCCCCAGCGGGACCCGCAUGCCGGACCAUGACGCCAUCCAAUCAUGAAGCGGGCAGUGACGUACGUCGGUCAAUGGAAAUGAGUGCAGUGGUAGUGUUUCGUGACAGCUGGUCUCUUUGGCGUUUUGUGCUUCGAAAUCAACGGUGAAACGACCCCCACUGGUAAAUAAAAAAAAAUCCUGCCACAAAAUAAAUGACAUCUAAAAAUAAAAAAACGAAAAUAUGGCAAGAAAAAAAGGAAGAAGGAUAUGCUUAUUCCAUCCCAAAAUUUUAAUGAUAAAGUAGGAUUUGCCCCUUAUAAAUUUUAAUGUACAUCUUAUAUAUAUAUAUAUGUGUGUGUGUGUGUGUGUGUGUGAUAAUUUGUCCAAAGAUACUUAGAUUACUUAUCAAUAGUUUUAAUUCAAUUCAGAAACAAUAAAAAUAUCAUUCAUAUUUUCAUUAUCAAAUUCUUAAGAGACGAUUUUUAGAGGAAUAUAUAUAACAAAAAAUCCAUAAAAAUAUAUAUAUAUUACUUCAUCUGUGAUUUAAGCUUCUUUGUAGAAGAGCGCUUCAUUUAGGGUCUCUAUUCCUAUCCUCGUCUCUGAGUUCUGUCGCUUCAGUUACGCGCACGGACUGUGUCAGGGAAGUAGCGAGGCCGAGAGAGGCGUCACCAACAAAGGGCGCAAUGGCCGUGCAAGGCGAGGAGGCAAAGAGGUACAUCACGGCGGAAGAGCUCCGCAAGCACAAUACCGCUUCCGAUCUCUGGAUCUGCAUCCAGGGAAAGGUGUACGACGUCACCUCCUGGGUCGAGGACCACCCAGGCGGCGACCUCCCCCUCCUCAGCCUCGCCGGCCAGGACGCCACCAAUGCCUUCGUCGCCUACCACCCCGCCUCCGCCUGGGCCCACCUUGGCCGCUUCUUCGUCGGCCAUCUCGCUGACUACCGCGUCUCCGCCGCCUCCAGUGACUACCGCCGCCUCGUCGCCGAGUUCUCCAAGUCCGGGCUCUUCGACCAGAAGGGCCUCGUCGCCCCGCUCACCAUCUGCUCCAUUCUCGUCCUACUCGUCGCCGCCGUCUCCGGCGUCCUCCUCUCGGAGGGUGCUCUCGUCCACGCCCUCUGCGGCGGCAUGAUGGGCUUCCUCUGGAUCCAGACCGGCUGGAUGGGGCACGACUCCGGACACUACCGGAUCGUCGGGCAUCCGCGCCUCAACCGGCUGGCGCAGAUCGUCGCUGGGAAUUGCCUCGCCGGCGUCAGCAUCGCGUGGUGGAAGCGGAAUCACAACGCCCACCACAUAGCCUGCAACAGCCUCGACUUCGACCCGGACCUCCAGCACAUGCCCUUCUUCGCGGUGUCAUCGAAGCUCUUCGCCUCGAUGAAAUCCUAUUUCUACGAGAGGAAGAUGAACUUCGACGCCGUCGCGAGGUUCCUCGUCAGCUACCAGCAUUGGACGUUCUACCCCGUGAUGUGCUUCGCGAGGAUCAACCUGUUCGCCCAAUCCAUUUUGCUUCUGCUCUCAGCGAAGAAGGUGCCCAAUAGAUGGCAGGAGAUCCUCGGGGUUGCCGUCUUCUGGAUCUGGUACCCUUUGCUCGUCUCCUGUUUGCCGAAUUGGGGAGAAAGGGUUAUGUUCGUCGUCGCCAGCUUCGCGGUCACCGGGAUUCAGCACGUCCAGUUCUGCUUGAACCACUUCUCUUCGAGCGUUUACGUCGGGCCGCCUCAGGGGACUGACUGGUUCGAGAAGCAGACCAUGGGGACCCUUGACAUCUCUUGCUCCCCGUGGAUGGAUUGGUUCCAUGGCGGGUUGCAGUUCCAGGUGGCGCACCAUCUGUUCCCCCGAUUGCCGCGGUGCCAUCUCAGAAAGGUCUCUCCUUUCGUGAGGGAGCUCUGCAAGAAGCAUAAGCUGCCCUACAACAUCGCCUCGUUCUGGGAGGCCAAUGCGAUGACCAUUCGGACUCUUAGAGCUGCUGCAUUGCGAGCUCGGGACUUUGAGAACCCAGUUCCGAAGAAUUUGGUGUGGGAGGCUGUCAACACCCAUGGCUGAAAGCUUACUAGUUCUGGACUCCCUCUGCUACAGUUCCCACUACGGGCAUCAAUCUUCAUGACUGAUGGUAUGAGCUGGUUGCUGGCAGUCGAGGUCUAAAUCUUCCUAUUUUCUCUUGCAUAUUAGUGUUGGUUGUGUUCUUUCCUUUAAUUAUGGCACCUGCAAACCUUUGUUCUAGUAAAGAAGUUUUGGUUAUGAUGAAUAGCCAGCAACAUGUCCACUUAGGAAGAAGUAGCAAUAGUUCUGCAAGGGGACUGGAUUUCAUGAGGCAUUAUGAGCAAGCAUUUUGCUUUGUCAUAAUUCUUCCUAGCUGAUGUUUGUCUACCUGUUUGAUUAUAUAUAAUUUCCUGCUCUAGAUAAUGAAUGCCAGUAGUGUUCCUCUUCCUUGCAGAGUUGUUCCCUGUCUCAAUCCAUGCAUGCCUUGUUUUGAUGAAAUGCCAUAACCAUGUUUCCUCCACUCGAAGCCUUGUGCAUGCCAACAAACAUCUAGGAGCACCCUGUCAUAUGCUGCUUCACUGCUAUGCAUGAACAUGGCAGACAGCUCUGCAGAGGAAAGCAGCUUGCUGUCACCUUUGAGGCAGUAGGUGGUUUUCUUUUUCUUUUGUACAUGCAGGACAUAUUUCAUGAGUUCCUUGUGAAUAAUCUGAUUUCUUUAGUAUCAUCCCUCAGGCUAGUCUAUCAGCUCCCUCCUAAGUACAUUCACAGUGGAAUCAAUUUCUAUUUUCCUCAGCAAUCAGUCCAUUGAUCUAUUAAAUUUUGCAUCUCAAAAUUCAGUAUUUGCUGAAUCUCUCAGGCACUGAUCUGAAUUUUCAACUGGCAAUCUUUCGUCAGACACAUUAGAUUUUUCAUGCUAUUGGUCUCUGUGGCUAGAUCAAGACAAGACCUCUCACCAAUUUGUCAUGCUGCAUUUGAGGCAUCAUCACAUCUGAGCUUGUGGGUUGCUUCAGAAACCAUUGAUGGAGCUUGGUCCACAUCUUAAGAGUAUUUUUGUCAAUCAUGUUGUCAGAUCUUGAUCUUUCCCCCCUCCCAACAUCUCAUAGUCAUGUAUUUGAAAUAUCCAACUGACCACUUGUUUUAUAACAUUGACUAGAGAUGAUUUUAGAACCCAGAGUUAUAGUUUUCUUGCUUACUUUUGAUUAAAUUAUGUCAUUAACUUGAAGUUGCACAUUUAGACCAAUGGUUUGUUUCAUCAUGGCUAUAGUUCAUGAAUUUUUUUUUUUCUGAGUAUUCUACUUUUCCUCAUCAAUCAGUGCAGAUUUAGCUGACUGCAUAUAUUGAUUACAGAAUACCAGAAAGAAAAAUAAUGAGAUGGUUUCUGAACUAUUACAUAUUCAAGUUUCUCUUGACUCUUCUUUGUACAUUAAUAGUAUUAUUAUAGCAAAAACUAGGAAAUUAGGUGGAGGAGGUGCAUCAUCAAGCUCCCAUGUAGGGGUUCUGCAUGUAAACCUCCAUUUUUGCAUGUCAGUAAUAGCAUUUGGCUUAUGUGGUGGGCCAAGCUGCUCUGAUGGAUGGUUUAAGCAGGAGCUGCAGUCAUACAAGUCAUCGACUGGUUUUCUCUUAAAUCUUUCCACUAGGUUGACAUGCUUUAUAAGGAAGAUUGAUGUUGGUGGUGGUGCUGCUAUUGCUCCUCCUUUUCUUCUGAGUAAUGUGAAGCACAUCCCUGGAAGAAUCGUCGUAAUGGUUGCUGUAUCUGCUAGGCUUAGACGCCACUGUACCCCACCUCUGUCACCGAGGCUUAACCAAGGAAUAAAACAAAAGCGGUGGCAUGAAACCAAACGGGUGAAUAAGUAUGCUUUACAGGUGGGGAGCGAUUGACAUGACAACCAACGCAUUAUGUUAUCGAUCUAUAACAUAAUGGGUUAGUCCAGAGAGAACCCAUCUAUUUUUGACACUUACCGGACGCGAUGCUACCUACGGUUGGGGGAUGGAUGCAGGGUUGAAUUAAUGAGCUAUGUUUGAAUCAAAUUCUCAAAACUAAUCAGUUAAGAGUGUGUGUGUGUGUGUGUGUGUGUUUUAUCUUCUGGUGUUAGCAGCAUGACUUCAGACAGGAAAUCUUUUGAAACAGAAAUCGAGUCAACAACUCCAUUUUUAUGAUUUCAUCAUCAUCCUCACUCUGAUGCAUAAAUCACAAGCUGUAGUUUCUUUCAAAUAAACUACACCGCUUCUAUUACAAUCGGCCCAAAUGCUUCGAAGCUGUAGUGUUAGAUCACAUUCAAACAGCUCACCAGCAAAAAGUGGUAAUACCAUCUGUUUUCAGUAGAAUGACUACAGACAAAGAAACAACAGUAACAACCAAGGAAAGAAAACUGGGUAUACUAAAUGUUUUCAGUAGAAUGAGCAGAGAGAGGAUGCAACAGUAAUAACCAAUAAAAGAACAUCAUUGGAUGGAUAUGAAUCUCACAAAUAGAAGAUCUGUUUUCGGUAGAAUGAUUACCGCAAAAAAUAAUAUAACGCACAAAAACAAGCUAUAUUGGUUGAUUUGUGUCUCAUGAUGAGAGCACUGCAAUUUGCGAUCUAAUAAAUAAAAAAAAGCCACCAAAGAAGAUAUGUCAUAUGAUCAUGAUAUCAAGGUAGCAUAACUCUGAUGUAUUACACUUACAGCAUCAUAAGUUGCAAGACAUGCUUAAAGCCGCAUACCCGCUAGUUAAUAGGCGACUAGGCACCACAUGUAACAGCGUGUAAACUAAACAAGAAAAUUUAUAUCAGACAAAAAAAGAGAAGAGAUAAUUGCAGGAACCUCCGUCCCAUAUAGAAAGAUUAUUAUGGGAUUUAUCAAAUAUAAUAAACAAAACAGGAAUUUCUUAACAGCAAUCAGUUUCCCGAUACUAACCAUGUAUACAUAGAGGCAAGUUUAGAGUCUUGAGAUAAAAAGAAAAAAACACCAGCAAACAAUACUAUAAUUCUGCCCACCUAAAUCCCAUUUAUGUAGGCCAGAGGAGAAGUCAUUGGUGACAAACACGAUCUAGCAAAUAUAUGUGGUAAAUCAGAUACCUUUUUCAACAAUUGGAACUAGCAAACUCGCAAACACACAUGGAAAAUACAUAUACCAAGUCAGAAAGCGCACAAAUGAUAGUUAAGAAAGGCACGUCCAGCCAUUGCACACACUACUGCAUUGUAUCAUAGGAAGAACCCUGCUCAAGAAUACCAGCAUACCUUGAUUUAUGCAUUGUUCCCCGUGCCUGAACUGGUGGCAAGCAUCGUCAUUAGACUUCCUCCAUGAACCCUCCCUUCUGGAAGCGAAACCAACCCACACUGAGUAACCUGAGGAUGUGCUUUCGUAUCAGAUCCACUCCAGAUUGACAUGCCCUUCCCUCCAAUAGCAACCUCUUUCAUCAUCCCAGACUUAAUUGAUGUUGGAAACAGGGUAGUGGAUAUUGCAAGGGUACCCCCACCACGAACACAGUGAUCUUGCACCAAGGCAUCAUGUGCAGCACAAAGACCAGCUUUGGUCCUGGCAAACCUCUCACAAGGUGGAUCGCCUGUGCCAAACUUUGACCCCACAUGACCCCAGGCACACCGGUUGCCUCCACCAUGUGCCUUGCAAAAAUCGGUACUCCCUUGAGCGCUUUUCCCACAACCCACAGAUUUGCAUCGUUUGCCUCCACCAUGGCGCACACAGUAAUUAGUCCGACCUCUAGCACUCUUAGUGCACCCAGGAACAGCACACCUCUUCCCACCACCAUGAGCUACACAGAAUAAGGUCCCACCAUGCACACUCUUUGGGCAAACACCUCCCCCCUGAAACAAGCAGCGCUUCCCUCCUCCAUGACCCUUGCAGUAAGGAGUGCUCCCUUCAGCUCCCUUGGUGCACCCCAAAAAUGUACAUCUUUUCCCCCCACCAUGUGCCUUGCAAAACAUUGUGCUACCCUGUGCACCCUUUGAGCAUGCUGGAAAUUGACAGCGUCGUCCACCACCAUGAGAGAUACAAAAUCCAGAAUGACCUUCUGCACUUUUUGUGCAAUUCUCUCUCCGGCACCUCUUACCACCUCCAUGCUUGAUGCAUAAACCUGAUUUACCUCUUGCAGCACGGCCGCAACAUUCAUGGCUGCAACGUUUGCCACCACCGUGGGCAAUGCAGUAAUCAGUGCGCCCUUCUGCACUCUUUGUGCAGCCAAGAUGUUCACACCGACGACCGCCUCCAUGCGCUUUGCAAAAGAUUGUCCUUCCUUCAGCACCCUUUUGACAUCCAGGUUUCUGGCACCUCCUUCCCCCACCAUGGGCUAUGCAUAGACCAGAAGCACCUCUUGCUCUUUUUACACAACCUUGGAACUGACAGUUUUUUAUGCUACUAUUGUGGUGUCGUGAAUGUGUAACUCCGGAAGUGCAGACAACUGGGCUUUUCACUGUUUGCAGCACGGUUGGUGGGUGAUCUGGCACAACAACAACUGGAUCUGCUUUUACACAAAUUUUCUUAUUUGAAGCAGAACUGCUACUUGUCUCUGAAUCGUUCAAAUGAGUUGGCAUACAGCGUCUGAAUAUCCACCAAGAUGAUACAAUCCCUUCAUCAUCAUUGGUCAGCACUGAAUUCACCAUUACCGAGGUCUCCACACUACUCUGAUGUUCAUCCAGGACAGGCUUGACACUAGUCAUGACUGAUUCAAAUGACCCAACUGAUAGACCUAAUUGGAGGUCUAAUGUAUUUCCAGUAUGAGAAUCAUUGGCAGUAGCAACAAAGGACUUAGAAGGAUUCGAUGUUUUUGCAUUUUCAGGACAAAACCGAAUAUUCAGUCCUAAAUCAACGGAUCCAUUAUCAUUUUCUUUUGCUGAAGAUGUGCAACGAAUUAUCGAACUCAUCUUGCUAACAUAUGAAGAAUUCAGAGACUGACCUAAACCCAGAGCAAGCAAGGACUGACCUGAACACUCCACAUCAUUCAUAUCACCCCACACCCCUAUUGUCCCCUUUGUUUUGGAGUUAUUAAGAGUGGAAGAACUAGGAGAAUUAAUUCGUAACGUGGCAUCACUUUUUUCUUCUCUUGAUUGGACUCUGUCAAAGAAAUCAUCAGUACUCAAAGAGGAAAGAUUUGCAGUAGAGGCCAGAUUCAAAGGGCAGUUAUCCAUUAUCUGUCAAAAGCCCUCUUAGAGCCACCAAAUCUACUAGGAAAAGAACCAGUUAGCCUGACUUCCAGAACUUUAAUGGUAACAAAGUUAAUUAAAUACUAGAAUGAAAGCUUGCAACCCCCACUGACAAAUCCUGAUGUAUCACAACGGUCCAUUUUGGAAAACUUGAGAGAUAAUCAAAUUAGCUGUAGCUGGAGUUAGGGGUCAAAUGAACAAUCAUUAGUAGCCAACCAUGUCAUCUAACAAAAUGUAUUGCCCAAGAAUUCCUGCAGCAGAAGAAACACCAAAGAGAAAAUUAAUAGCAUUUGAGAAAUAAGAAUUUAGAAUUACUCUUUCCAAAUUUCUAUCCAGAACUUUGAAGAGCAGAGUAGCAUGUGUGAUGCUGCUAAAAGAUACAGACACAUUUUGCCAACAAAGCAAGAAAAGGCGCCAUGGGUUAUCAUAAAUACACAAAGAUCUUUGAAGAAGCAAGGAUAUCCAAAAUUGAACUAUCAAAAACCAGAGUUAGUAUUGAUGCUGCUACUAAAAGACACACACAUUUUGCCAACCAUGCAAGAAAAGGAUAUAUGCAUUAUUAUAAACAUCCAAAGUACUUUGACAAGCAAUUUAAACUAUUAAACAACCACACAUCCAUCAUAUACUCUAAAUAGAUUACUGUUUGACAGAACAUGUACUUACAAGCAACCAAGAAUUUUUAAACAAACGGAAACCACAUCCUACAAGAAGCUUAUGCUACAUGCAUUGGUCAUCAGCGAUAUCGGUCAUCAGUGAUACUGAUGCUUUUCAAAAAGACACCUGACUAGAAAUAUUUGGAUCAUUUCUUCUGAUCCAACUCAAGAGGAAAAAAGAAAAGAAAAGUGUAAUUUUACAAGGAAAAUGAAAAGAACAAAUGUAAUAUACUUGACAUCAGUAACUUCUAUGAACCAUCAUAGCUCUGUCUCAAGAGGGCUGAUGUCAAAACUCUGCAAUGUGCUAUUUAGAGAGUUUUAGGUCUCCCAAACUUUAUAAGAACACCAUACUUGCAUAUCAUGUAAAAAUAUGGCCUCAUGGUUUUUUUUUUCAAAAAAAGGGAUCAAAUUAAAUAACUAAAAUGGUCAUAACAGAUACCCAGCAAUUAAGUUUAAUUAGCAUAACUUACAAAAAAAAAAGUUUAAUUAGCAUAAGUUAAACUUACACGGUUUCUAGUUAUAUCAUAUUCAUGUGAUCAAGUUGAUUAAAUUUAAUAGAUAAAUUUGCAAUAAAAUAUGAUUGCAAGAAAAAGCACAUUAAGUUUAUAAAAGAGCUAGCAAAGUAGAUAUUCAAAUUAUUAUAGGGCCAUAACUGUAAAAAAAAAAAACCAUGGACAUAUAUAAAGAGCCACAUUUAUUUGAAAAAAUAUAAUAGACUAUUAGCAACUGCUUGCAAAGUAUCAUUGAACUUGAAAUUAGAAGGAAUGUUACCAACAAUUGUUACAGUGUUAGCUUAUUUUACAAGACAGCAGAAUGAUAUUCUUGAAAAUUAAAUCGGCAAGCAGAAUAACUUAGUAUGCUUAAAACCUUUUGAUGUAUAGCUUUUCAUGCUAUUACUAGAAUCAUACACAUCAAAUGAUUCAUGAAACUCAAAUUGCUCGAUUACAUGCUUCCAUUGUAAAAGGAAGCAGUAACUCUAUCUGAACUCGUCAAAUUGCAUCUGCAAAUUUUGAGACAAUUACAAAAAAUAACAGAGAGACAGAGAGAGAUGUAAACCCCUAUAACCUAGCACCAAUUGAAGAAACGAGGCAAAGACACAGGACGGUCAAGCCAACACAAAUACGACCAGAAAAUCGCUGUAAGGAAUAUAAUCCCGAUCUGGUUAUGCAGAUUGUAUAUAUUAAUAAAAAAAAACCAAAAAUAAAUGCAUGAUCAGAUUAGUCAUGAACAAAAAACUACAAAUACAAGCAACUUUCCAUCGUGCAACUAAUCAGAUUAAGGAUGUUACCAAUACCUCAUGGAAGAUGCAGUGCUUUAAGAUUUUUAUUUACACCAUCCAUCAAGAUGCUCUGGUAGUAUCAUAAAUCUAUUCAGAAUGAGGAAAGUAUGCAGAAACACGUUUAAUCUACUCAACUCUUGCAACAGAACUGACAGCAAAGCAGUUGAUAGAUCACCAGAUGUUUAAAGCAUUAAUUGCCGGUACAUACCACGUGCCAAGAAAUCGUCGAGUUACGCAAUGCCUUUUACAUAGUAUCUAUUACCACUUGACUCUGUCUUUAACUGCUUCACUAAUUUACCCUUGUCGAUGGGCACCGAUAGGAUCGAGCGCAGUAUAAAACACCCAAACUCACAAGAGAAACAACAGCUACCUCACAGAAUCAUUUAGGAGAAAAGAAGUUUGGAAAAUUCCGAUCACCUUUCUACACAAUCCACGAUGAGACAAGCAUUAAAACGAUCAUGAAACACCAAGAAAAGAAGAGAUGGAAGAAGGGCAGAACCAAAUCUAAAAGUAACACCAAGUACGCUACAGAGAAUACUUGGAUGGAGCUAAAAAAGAGGACAUAAAAUCGGACAGCAAAAUAAGCAUUCAAGAGGAACGAGAAGACGCAAUAUAUGUCCUCGUUAGCCGAUCCGACGGCAUUCACACUCCACGAAAACGAUCGUAAACGAUCCGAUCAGAGACAAGAAUGAGGCAACACUCGCCUUGGCGUGAGAAGGGCAAGGCGGCCAAGGACGGGAAGAUCCGACGAGAGUUAGGGUUGUUGAUGUGGGGAUAGGGAAGGAGGAGCCGAGGCGGAAGGCAACAAAGCGAGCGAGAGCGAGGUGGGAAAAAGAAAAGAAAAAUAAACUGUACGAUAAUUAAGAGGAGACAUAUAUAAGCGAGGCCGGUGGCGCGCGCACGUUAGCCCAUCCCGCGCAGCGUAGGCCGAGAAGCGGGGCCGGCGUCGGUCGGCCGCUGGGAGGGCGCCGCCUCGACACGUCACCGCGUCGCGCGAGAUUCCACGCAGGCAGCGGCUCGCAACCGUCCGUGGUGCGCCUCCGUGGGCCCCACCCUUUUUCUUUAUUGAACAACAGAAUAAUGCAAUUUUGUUCCCAUUAAUAAAAGAGGCGGAAAAAUAAAUCCAACGACAACAUUUUGCCGCAGUCGGCGUUCAAUUUUGAUUUAGAUUAGCACUUUUAAUCGACCCUUAUUGAUUGCUCAAAAAUAAAUACAACUUAACCUUAAAAAAAUUAGGUGUUUAAUAAGCUCAAUUGAGGUGACGGAUUACGACGUAUCUUUCUUAUCGAGGUCUGACCUAACAAAGCCAUAUUCCAUUUUAUCAUCAGAUAUAAUAAUAAUAAUGUCACGCCUAUUAUUCUCACACGCUUAUAUACAUUUAUUUGGUCAGCUAACAAUCUUCAAAUAUAAUAUUCGUCAUAAGACUUGGACGAGUCUCCACUUCUUCCCUUUUUCUGUUCACAAUAUUUCACGAAUUAUGCAUGAUAUCCUCAGGGAUGUUAUGAUCGAUCAUAUCUAAAGAAGAUAUCAGUGAAGCUUCGUCAUUAGAUCAGUAUACAAGUAAUGCAUCGGAUGCAGGAGAAGACAAAACACUUUUAGGAGACGUAAAGAAGUUGGCACUUUGAACAGCAUCUCGGGAUCAAAGGCAAACGCAACUUGCUCGAGGUUGCAGGCGGCGGCGUCCCUUCCAAAAAGGCAAAGGCCAACUCUCCCCACCCCAAUCGCCACAUAUAACUCUUUUGCAGGUGCAGCGAGUGAGUCCACCAACGAGAUUUGUUGCGAUGGAGAUGGGCAUCGCAAUCCAAGGAUGCAGUCUCGCCCUCCACGUUUCCUUCUUUCUGCUAUCGGUACUUGGCAACUUGAAAACGCAACAGAUAGGUAGAUGAUCAUCACAGCCACAGCAGCAGCAGCAGCAUUUGUAUGUAAAGAUACCAAGCAGUAAAAAGAUCAGCUGAAUCAACAGAUGCCACGGUGGGUUGCCAGGAUCAAACUAUUAGGGUUUCUCCUAGGGGCUACAGAAACCUUCAGCAGACAGCAGGAUGAUGGCUGGCUGAGUGGAAGAUCACAACGUAAACGUGAGAUGUUACUUGUUCUCUUUCUUAUUCCUUCUCCUCUGUAUUCCCUGGUACACACUAUACCACUGCAAUUAAUCUUUACAGCAAGUGGAAGAAGAACAUGAGCAUAUGCCUUUGUCCCUUUUUCGCUUUCUCGUGGGUCUUUUCCUUGGAGCCACGAGUCAAAAGAGAAGGAAGACUUUUGAGGAAGAAGAACCGGGCAAGUGUCAAGCUCCAAAGCCACACUAUCAACAGCAAUAAUAUAUCGAAUAAGAACGAGAUGAAACUUGCCAUGCAUGAUGCAUGCGCUCCUCAACACACACUGAAACAGCCCGCACGUCACUGAUGUGCGGUCAAGUCCUCUUCGUCAACAAUUGGCUCAUGCAAAUAGAUAUAUAUUUUGAUUGAUAUUUCGUGUCAAAGUGCAUCAGAUUCGGAGGGAACUUAUGCUGUCCAUAUGUCGGGAGUCAGCAAAUGAAUUGUAGCCACCAAUGAAGUCAACAAUAUCUUCCUCGUAUCCAACACUUACAAAAGACUUGUCCUUCUAUCUAUCUCCUUUCUCAUCUCUGUUGAUGAGGAUCCAUCACCAGAAAGUUGGAUUCGCCUUUCUCCGUCUCUCGCUUCCCAUUCGGAUGCCUUUGGUCUGUGAAUAUGACCCUUUCCGACGAACAUGGAUGCUGACAUGUUGUCUUGAUUACAAUUUCUCAUGCAGUUCUUUCAAAUGAGUCAGUCUUAUGAUGAGACUCAUUAUGACACUAGCUUUUUACUCGAUGUUCAUGUUAGGUUCGAGUCCGAAUCAAUUGGCGAGUUCGAUGGAAGUUGGCCCAACAAAAUAAUGAGUCGUCGAGGUUUGAACGAUUGUGGUGAAUGGGUCAUGCAACAAAUCAAGCACUAGGCUUGCUCGAAGCCCACGAUAUAUGUAACUUGCUAUCAGCCCAGUGUGGCGGCACAUUCAUUGUUAGCAUCAUCGAAUAUAAAUACUUUAUUGAUAUGCUUUGAGGCAUGCUUCAUAGCUUCAUUUUCUCAAAGUAAAAUAAAAAUUAUUGCUUUGAAACUGUGGAACAAACUGAGCUGCUAAUGAAGCCAUAGCAACAAAUAAAAAUCUGAAGAUCUGUGAUCUACCAAAAUUUGUCAGCGUAUGUCUUACAAAAAUUACUAGACAUGGGUAAGUACAUGAUUCCACUUACAUCAAAGGUGUAGGAGUGAUCCCCUUGGAAAUGUUGAGAACCUUCAAAGAGUUUGUGUUGAGCUCAAUACAAGAGAGCUGUAGGAAUUGAGCUGCUUUCAUAGCAUCAUGUUGCGUGAGAACUUGUGUGCAGGACCAUAUAAUAUGUAAAGAUUUCGUGGAGAAAGGAAAACGAUGAAGAUGCAAGCCAAAGAUCAAAGAACUUUACAUGAAUAGACUAAGACAUGGGAGAAUAAAUGGGAUAGAGAUUGACGAAAUCUUCACUUGGAUUACCAUCUUAUUCUAGAGACUUGAGCUCGAGGAGAAGGGCCCCAAACCUAACGACACAAUGUCGAUGCCUAUACGUAUUCUCCUCCGUAGUUCAUGACCCACUACCAACUCUUGACCGUGUUGUUCUUGAUGAGGACUUGUCAUCAACGAAGCUCCGAGCUCACCCUAAUGUUUUAAGAUGGUUCAGAUGACCUGGGAGACUUCCAUCACCUCCAUCUCUCUCUGUGUGUGUGUUGGAAUUCUAACGUAAACCCUUAUGUCAGGAUUAAUACUUAAUAUACCUUACACGUAUUUGGCUCUUUCCUAAUAGCUUAAGGUUUUGAGACUAACUGUAUCUCAAUCAUAAUUCUUAUCGUGAUAUUAAAAUAUAUUACGAGCGUGAAAUUUAUAGCCAUGGAACAAAGAUGAUGAUCCUCGUAAGCUUCUUUGUUCGCGGGGGGAGCUCAGCUUAGUGGCGAGGAGUCACAAUCGAAUCGGAAAUUUGCUAAGCUGGCGCCGGCCAUUAAUUGACUCAUCGAUGGUGCGUCGAGUAUGGAGGAAGACUAAUAAGUUAGUGGUCGUUCCCAUGGCGCAGCGGAAACCGUGUGCAAGCAGGGUUGAAGAUGGCGAACACGUCUUUCUUCCCCCAUUAAUUUCGCUCACCGUAUGUUGCAAGCCAAAGAUCAAAGGACUUUACAUGAACAGAGCAUGGCAUUGAAGAAUUAAAGGUGUGGCGAUUAAUAUACUCCAAUAACUUUUUUGUGCUAACUUAGGUUCUGAUGGUGUGACAUGUGAGUAAGGUUCGGAGCCAAUCAAUGUUUACUUUUGACUCCGUCUCAGUCCGAGAUGUUGGGUAGCUGUUAAAGUCAGAUUUAUUGAGUCGAUUGCCUCAGCCAGUUUCUGGUGCAUCGUUUGACUAUGAACACCAACGUCAACAUUUUCGCCACCGUCGUUGUUCCUGGCGAAGACUCGGUCGCAGGACCUUCUCGUAGUUCCCACCGGGGAGACUGACUUCACUUUCAUCCCUCUCUACGUGUUGGAAUUAUACACCGGAUGCUCAUGCGUCAUUGCGAGGAUGAAUACUGACAAACCCAACACAUCGGCUGCGGUUGUUUAGGAUAAUGACCGACCCAUUUAUUCCCAGCAGCCUCACCUGCACGAGACUUCCUCGGAGUUUUCCUUCUGCAUUACGUCAAUGAAUUCAGUCUCAAAAUCAGUUCAAGAGUACCGGCAUACGCAUUAGAUAGAUCGAAUAGAGUCGGAUAUCCGAAAAGAAUCGAUCGUACCUCCAUCCUUAUCUCGAUCCUUGACAAUGUUUGUACAGAGACGACUCGAUCCCUCACAAGUCGACUGUCUCAGUUGGUCGCUGGUGCAUCGACCAUGGAGGAAGACCAAAUAAAUGAAGGCGUGAAUGAGGCGGUGGCAACCGUUGGCGAAGCAGACUCGAAGAAGUCUGCUCUCGGCGGAGUGCGUCACAGAAAUAUAAUAGAUUGUAAGAUUUUUAUAUACUUCGAGGAUACGUUUCUUCUCAUGCUUAACCUAAAAGAAAGAUGGAAAUCACAUGAGUUACAGAUAAACACAACAGCAAUACAAAUAAAUUAUACGAGGCAAAGAUGAUGAGUGGAUGAGCACCUCCUCUGAGAGUCAUCCAAGAGUUAGUCAAAGUCUUCUUGGCUUCAUCCCAAAGCGCAGCCUCCCCCUGUCAUCUCCUCUUCCCUGGUGCAGGUCCCAUCCCACCCUCCUUCCCUAUAUAACAUGAACGAGGCCUUCGCCAAUCGUCACAGGCAAUCCACCAUGGCCUCCCGAAACCUCUCCUCCCUCCUCCUCGUCGUCCUCCUCGUCUUCGCCUUCUCUGCCGGCUCCCACGCCGGCAGCAUCGCCGUGUACUGGGGCCAGAACGGCAACGAGGGCGGCCUUGCCGACACCUGCAACACCGGCAUCUACUCGUACGUGAUGCUGGCUUUCCUCACCACCUUCGGCAACGGGCAAACCCCCGUCCUCAACCUGGCGGGCCACUGCGACCCCCCCUCCGGCACCUGCACGAGCCUCAGCUCCGACAUCCGCGCCUGCCAGUCCCAGGGCAUCAAGGUGCUCCUCUCCCUCGGUGGCGGCUCCGGCAGCUACUCCCUGUCCUCCUCCGACGACGCCGCGAGCGUGGCAACGUACCUAUGGGACAACUACCUGGGCGGCUCGUCCAGCUCGCGCCCGCUGGGCGACGCCGUCCUCGACGGCAUCGACUUCGACAUCGAGCAGGGCGGCCCCGACCACUACGACGAGCUGGCGAAGCAGCUCUACGACUUUGGUAAUCAGGCGGGGACCAAGGUGUACCUCUCGGCGGCGCCGCAGUGCCCCUACCCGGACCAGUACGUGGGUAACGCGCUGCAGACGGGGCACUUCGACUACGUGUGGGUGCAGUUCUACAACAACCCCAGCUGCGACUACUCGUCGGGGGUCAGCGGCCUGAGCAGCGCAUGGGGGACGUGGACAUCGAGCUUGUCGUCAUCGGCCGUCUUCCUGGGGCUGCCGGCCUCGACGGACGCGGCCGGGAGCGGGUACAUCCCGCCCGACGACCUCACCAACCAGGUGCUGCCGGCUAUCAACACUGCGUCCAACUACGGCGGCAUCAUGCUGUGGAGCAGAUACUACGAUCUCAACAGCGGGUACGGCGCCGCCGUGAGGAACAGUGUUUGAGAUGGCGAUGUACUAACUACCAGAUGUGUGCUUCCGAUUACGAUGUCAUGAAUAAGGCGGGACACUGAUAGAAACGUCUUCCUGAUUGAUGUGACGUUGCGUCCCAAUAAAAUAAAGAUUGCGUGUUUUUAUGGAGACAUUGAUGUAGUCAAUGUAAUAAUACAUAAGUGAUAUAUCUUAAAUUGAAAUUUAGCUGUGAGCAUCAGAUUUGGUGGGUUCAUGAGUAUCAUGUCCGUUAUUUAUAGUCCUAUUUUUUUUUUAUAAAAAUAUAUAUAUAAAAAAUUAAAAUAAAGUAUGCUUGAGAAGUGAAAUAAUUAAAAUAAACCCAUAGACGGACCAUGAAAGGUGGUGUAUUGAUGACAAUUGAUGCAAUUCAUGAAUUGAUGGCUAUGUUAAGUAAGAGACAUGUUUGUAUAUUAUAAACAGCAGGUUUUUCUCGCAUCUAAUAAAAACAUUCUAUAUGCUGAUCACAUUGAAAUAAACUUUAUAUAUAAACAAUGGAAAAUUAAUAGUCAGGGGAUUAUAUUUUUAAUUAUUUGUUCUGUAAGCUCUUCUUCAUAUUCGUUUCUUUGAUCAUGCAAGUCAUAGUUUGGUCAGAGAAGACGUGCUUUGUCCACAAAAAAGAAAAUUGAGGAUGUGUAGGCCUUCACCUUUAAAAUACUUGUUCUCAACAUAAUAAAAAUACUUGUCCUGUAUGCACAACUAUUUUUAUUGGAGCAUUUUAUAUUCCUCCACUUAUAUUCAAUCGUCGUUGGAUUUGUCACUAUAAUCCCUAAUCUUUGUUGUCUCUUCGGUCAUCACCUCCUAUUGCUAUACCUUUGCCUCCGUCACCAUCGCUCCGACCCUCGACCACCAUCAGCCUAAUGGGUCAUAUGCCCCUCAUUUUUGAAUUGAUGUUCAUGUUGCCGUGAAUGUAUCAUGUGACAAAUCAAUUGCAGUAGGUUUGCAUGAACCUCACCAUAUAUGUUGCUUGCUAUGAGCCCAGUGCGACGCCCAUUCAUCCUAAAUUAUAGGAGUGAGAAUUAUAUUAUUUUCCAUGAGAUUGUUGUUUGCCGAGUGUUGCGUAAGGUCAUUUGAGGAUCCCUCGUGGUUGUCUGAUGAGAUAGUUAGUGUGGCAUCGAGGAAUAUGAGGUGGUUUCGGAGGAUCCAAGAUAGACUUCGAUCUUCCCAAGUUCCUACACAAAGGUUAGUGUUGGGAGAAUUUUCCAACCUGACUCAUCCGAUGUUUAAGUUAGUUUUGUGGAGUUGUGUGAGGUAUAAAGAAUUUUUUUAAAGAGAGGUCCGACCCUUAAGCAAGUGUCGGGGGCUGACUUUUAUACCUGGGCGAUCAAGGGGAUCGUUUGUAACUAUCGCAAUGCCCUUCGCAUAGCAUUUUAUCUAUGUGAGCAAAAGGCUCGAAUAACCUUCUACGGGUUGUCAUCUACAAAUGCCAAUUAAGUGGAGACAUAUCCAAAGGAUCACCCGGGGACCAUUAUCCUUGAUGAUCGAUAAAAUUAGUCGAAACAGUCUCCUGUGAACUAUUAUCCAUGAGGAUUCGAUAGGUGCCACACAAUACUAUUGAGUCGGGAGGUGAUUUACCCUUACCUUCGAUGUCGACAUCUAGAUGGCGAUCAACUAUAAAGCUAGUUUUGUCAUCAGAAUAUUUCCUUGCAAGAACCUGACGUAAGAUAGGAAGCUUUUAACUCUAUCAAUAUUUUAUUAUCAUGAACUUACCUUAAUUUAUCUAAACCAUAUAUAUCACAUUCAUGCUAAGGGUUAAUCUUUCAAUCUGAAAAAAUAGAUAGUGACAUGUGAAUGCACUAUAAUAGUUACUUGGCUUAAAGCAUAAACUAAGACUGCACUAGCAUCAUCAAAUAAAAUAAUUUAGUGGCAUGCUGUCACGCAUGCUCGAUAGCUUCAUGUUCUUUUUACUAGAACAAAAAAUACAUUGCUUUAAAACUAUGGAACAAACUGAGUUGCUAAUGGACCCGUAGCAACAAACAAAUUAAAAGUAGAUAUCAGUGAUCUGCCAAAUACUAAUACUAAUACUAGAGCAAUUGACAGCCUCCAAGAGAGUUGGUGUUGAGCUCAAUAGAAGGGAGCUGUAGGAAUUGAACUGCUUUCAUUGCUUCAUGUUGGAUCUUCUAAUAUGUAUAGACUUGGAGAAAGAAAAACGAGGAUGAUGCGAGCCAAAGAUUAAUGAACUUUAGAUGAAUAGACUAAGACAUGGAAGAAUAAAUGAGAUAGAGAUCGGCGAAGCACCACAAAAGUGAUGGGAUAAAAAGAGAAUUUUGUAUAUGAACAAAUAAAAAUAGAUCGUAAUAUGUAGUGGAAUUAAAUGAAAAUCAUAAUUAAAUUGAACAUCAAGAUUUAUAUGAAAAAUCCUUCAAACGUGAAGGGUAAAAACCAUAUGGUAAAAUAGAGAAGUGUGCUUCCGAUUACGAGGUCAUGAAUAAGGCGAGACAGUGAUAGAAACCAAGUAGAAAAUCUUGAUUUAUAAAAAAAAAAUUUAAGUUAUAAUUCCAAGAAACCAAGAGAAACCAUGAUUCAUUUUAACAAAUCUCCUCUUAAAUAAAUAAUGAAAAGAAUUCUUAGAAAAUCAUGAUAUAAAUAAAAUUCAUUCAAUCUUAUAGGAGAAUAAGAUAUGCAUAUAAAAUCUCUCAAUUCAUUAUGAAUCAUAAAAAUUAUAAUUCUAAAAAAUUAUAAUUCAUUUAGGAAAUUUUCUUCUUUAGUAAACGGUAAAAAGAAAUAUGGGAGUUCAAAAAACAAGAUCUUGAUUNNNNNNNNNNNNNNNNNNNNNNNNNNNNNNNNNNNNNNNNNNNNNNNNNNNNNNNNNNNNNNNNNNNNNNNNNNNNNNNNNNNNNNNNNNNNNNNNNNNNNNNNNNNNNNNNNNNNNNNNNNNNNNNNNNNNNNNNNNNNNNNNNNNNNNNNNNNNNNNNNNNNNNNNNNNNNNNNNNNNNNNNNNNNNNNNNNNNNNNNNNNNNNNNNNNNNNNNNNNNNNNNNNNNNNNNNNNNNNNNNNNNNNNNNNNNNNNNNNNNNNNNNNNNNNNNNNNNNNNNNNNNNNNNNNNNNNNNNNNNNNNNNNNNNNNNNNNNNNNNNNNNNNNNNNNNNNNNNNNNNNNNNNNNNNNNNNNNNNNNNNNNNNNNNNNNNNNNNNNNNNNNNNNNNNNNNNNNNNNNNNNNNNNNNNNNNNNNNNNNNNNNNNNNNNNNNNNNNNNNNNNNNNNNNNNNNNNNNNNNNNNNNNNNNNNNNNNNNNNNNNNNNNNNNNNNNNNNNNNNNNNNNNNNNNNNNNNNNNNNNNNNNNNNNNNNNNNNNNNNNNNNNNNNNNNNNNNNNNNNNNNNNNNNNNNNNNNNNNNNNNNNNNNNNNNNNNNNNNNNNNNNNNNNNNNNNNNNNNNNNNNNNNNNNNNNNNNNNNNNNNNNNNNNNNNNNNNNNNNNNNNNNNNNNNNNNNNNNNNNNNNNNNNNNNNNNNNNNNNNNNNNNNNNNNNNNNNNNNNNNNNNNNNNNNNNNNNNNNNNNNNNNNNNNNNNNNNNNNNNNNNNNNNNNNNNNNNNNNNNNNNNNNNNNNNNNNNNNNNNNNNNNNNNNNNNNNNNNNNNNNNNNNNNNNNNNNNNNNNNNNNNNNNNNNNNNNNNNNNNNNNNNNNNNNNNNNNNNNNNNNNNNNNNNNNNNNNNNNNNNNNNNNNNNNNNNNNNNNNNNNNNNNNNNNNNNNNNNNNNNNNNNNNNNNNNNNNNNNNNNNNNNNNNNNNNNNNNNNNNNNNNNNNNNNNNNNNNNNNNNNNNNNNNNNAUAUAUAUAUAUAUAUAUUGGCACCUUCGUUGGUUGGCAACUUCAAUAGUAUGAUUGGCUGUCUACUAUGUUUAUGUACCAUUUUAGGUUCAUGCAUUCUCAUGUCAUUUUAUUUUCUGAAUCGAUUUAAAUAAAUUUUGGAUAUACAUAUUUAUUCAAUAUUCAUGCAUAUUAUUUUGGAUAAUGUCUACUUUAUUCAUGAAUAAAGUGGAUAAUAAGUCUAGUUCAUGCAUAUCAAUUUAUAUCCAAAAUAAUGUGCAUGAACCGAUAAAUACUCCUCACAUUAUUUAUUUUAUUCAUAAAUAUUAUUUUAAAUAUAAAUUUAAAGUUUUGGCUCAUGGUCUUGUUGGGAAAUCUAGGGUACGAGAUUACAUGUGCAACGGAAGAACAAAAAAUAAAAUCUCUAAUAUUUUUUAAUAAUAUAUUCGUUGUUAUGCGAAGAUUUGUGUGCAAAAUACACGAAAAAGAAAAUCACGUGUGAGAUAGUUGUGUUACCUAGGGAGAUCGUAUAUCCCCCCUACAGAUUUGUAGAAGUGGAUGAAUGAGGUCAAGCGUUCUCCGCUCUAGAGGUGAUUACAUAGUAGGACUGCGACGCUUCUCAAAUCUCUAAGCCUACUAUUUGAGGAGGAGAAAAAGAGAGGAGAAUAGGAGGUGACUACCUAAGAGGAGAAUAGCAGAGUGGUAGUGGAGAAGAUAGUUGUCGUUCACCGAGGAGGAAAGAUUUAUGCCACAGCAAAAGGGAACGGACAUUGGUGCAGUGGAGAAGAUAGUUGCCAUUCACCGAGGAGGAAAAAUUUAUCGCACCGAUAACCUGACGAUGGAAAAGCAGUAGUAGAAAGCUUUUUCUUUUACCGUCGGAGGUGGAGAAGCAACAGAUGAGUCAACAACGAGAAGAGAGCUUGCUCUAGGCAAGUGGCUCUGAUACCAUGAUAGAAAUAACAGAAGAUAAGAACAAUAAUUGAAGAAGUAGCUUUAGCUUGAAUACAUUAACAUGUCCCUCUCAUUAUGAGAGAGGAUUUUCCAGAUACGCAGUAACCUUCUUACGAGUGCCGGAUUUAUCACAGAAUAAUAUGAAAUUAAAAUUGGUAAUAUACUAAUAUCCCUGAAAUCCUACUUCUACGAGUAUUCCGUGCGUGCCUCUCAUACGCGGUGAGGUGGCAGCCGAUGCCACAUUUGCAUUUACUCCAGAAACUCCGAUAGAUACAAUCAAAGCGCGUAAAGGUUUAUAGUACCAAAACAAGUUCUGCGUCCGCCAUAGGUUCCUUUCCGCAUCUUUGAACCGUUGAUUGGGCAUCAGAGGGCGAGGCGCGGCGGCAGACGCCGGGCCCAGCGUGACCCACACACGUGCGACAGACAAAAGGCCAAUCGCUGGGUAGGGCGGAGUGGAGGUAGAACACGACUAAUGGUGACUUGGACGAGGCUCAGGACCACGUGGUUCAACGAAUCUAAAUAUCUAAAUGGGCCGUGGGUCGCGUGAUGGAACGAGCUCCAUCACUGCCGUUGAUGGUAUCUACAAUCAAGGAACCCGUGAUCAGAUCCGUAAACGGGGACCGUCCAAUAAUACUUCUACAUAGAUCUUGAUCAGGUCUCUGCAAAUUUCUCCCAAUCAAUCACCCAAAUACGUCGAUCUGUCUCAAAGCCGAUGUAAACAAUAGUAUUUAUGAAUGAGAAAAUCAUGAAUUUUACCUAUGACCUAAACCAAAUUGGAUUCGCAUAAUUACGACUCGAGGCACAACUCCAAUCAGUAGCGAUAGUGUCUGCAUAUUUAUUUGAUUAGAAAAAGACCACAACGUGCAUUUUUAUUUGAUUUUAAUAAGAAGCUACUCGAAGCAUCAAGAUCAAGAAGGUGUGAUUUAAAGUCACGAUAGGAAGCACGGUGAGCCCCGGCUUGGUUGACCCCAGUGGACCCUACUUGGAAACUCGAGUCUGUCUGUCUCACGCGCAAUUAGCCACAGCGAUAAGAAACGAUAUUUGCAUGUUAUCUAUCGAUGAACAGUGCUUCUCGUACAAUAAUUGUGACCGUCGGGGGACGUCGUCACAUGGCAUGCACGUGAGUCAUGAAGACGUUUUUAUUUGAAUAGUUUUCCUCUGUUGUGAUCCCUCCAUUUCAUUCGAUGAAGUCCAAUGCAUCAACCAUCAUGCCUCCAUCGCACCCUUUGUUGGUGUUGGUGUCGCAAUCCACCAGUUGUUGCUCUGACAAGGAGAUAAGCUCGUUGGUUCUGAUCUGGUUUAUUCCCUCCACCGAAACUACUGUCGAGAAGGCCCAGCAACUUCCUGCAACAAUUCAUACUAAAUUUUCAUUUAUUUCGAUCGAGCACAUCAACAAAAAAAUAUAAUAUUUCGAGCUCACCGCAUUUGCCUUGGUCUUUGAUAGCAGUGACGGCACCCUUCUGCCUCCAGUCGACGGUGGGAGUUACAUUGGUGACGUUCUUGUAUAAGAAGUACCCUUCGAGGUUCGCGCUUCCUCUGAGAGUGCUGCGGCGACGAAUCCUCGUCCCUGCGUACGUCCUCUUGAACUCCUCCCUCGCCGUAUCGCCGAACUUGUUGAGGCUAAGCUUGUAAGGCUUGGCUUUCUUGUUGGACGCGAACACGUAGUUAGCGUUCUCUUUAAAAACAUCAAAGCGGAUGCGCUUCUCGUCGACGCUGCGUGACACGCCAUGGUGGCUCUGCCACCUCUCGUACAAGUCCAAGAGCUUAUCCUCCGACGCGAUGUCGAUGUCAUCCCCAACGAUGGGCAAGCCGGAGAAUGCUACCGCAACGAGAAAGGCAGCGAACAAGAAUCCUCUCCCCAUGGUGGUGAACGAGGAGAAACCAAAAACAGGAUGGAAGUAGGUUUAUGGUUCGAAGGAGGUAUCUAUAGAGAUGUUGGGAGUGAAGCAUGACGACUGGGCGGUUAGGAGAUUAGGGCAUGGGCAUGGGAGAGGCUCAUUUUACGUAACUGUUAUUGGCAUCUUCUUAAGCGAUGCAUGCAUGCAUGCAUACGUCGAAAAGGUAUCCUCUUCGGGUAGUUUGAUGUGCAUGGGUUCGGGCAGAAGCUUCCAAGCCAAUAUGGGAGAAGAGUGUGUAGUCCUAUAGAAAUGGGAACUGUGAGGUUGGAUAUCCAAAUCGCAAUUAGCGUUUGAUUAGGGAAAGAGAUGGAUAUUAUGAAGCCUCAUAUAGCUCGAUGAAUUAUAUUGAUCAAAAUGUAGCAUAAAUAAGACUAAAGAUUUUUACAGGACUGCUUCACGGAUGCUUUCUGGGGCAGGUUAUAGCCACUAUGAGAUCAGUAGCUACUGCAAGGAUCGGUAUGAGUGCAAGCACAAUCUCACCUACUGGCUGAACAGAUCUUUCUAUGGAUUUGGCCUUGGAUCUGCAAGCUACAUCAAUGACAUGAGGUUUUCAAGGCCAAGAAGAUUGAAGGAGUACGAGGAAUGGGUGCACAAGUUGGAAGAUGGAUUGGUAGUGCUUCAUGAGGACAUCAGUGUCGACACAAAGGACAUGUCAAUGGAUGUUGUGAUGCUGUCCUUGAGAACGGCAAAAGGUCUUGACCUGAGGGGCUUUGCAAAAUGCUUUGGGAAGAGCCUGGCACGCUCUUUGUGCCAAGCCUUGAGGCAGUAUGUAGAGAGUGGGCAUGUGGUUGUCAUGGAUGAUGAUAGAAAUACGUUGUCUUACCCUGAGUUUGAGUUGAAGAUGAGUGAGGAUAAUGAUGAAAUGGGUAAUGGAGUUGCAUCCAUUCGGCUCAGUGAUCCAGAUGGUUUCCUCCUGUCUAAUGAGUUGAUAUCCAUUGCAUUUGGAAUUAUAUCUCCAUAAUAUCCUGUGAGACUUUCGAAACUCAUCUGUUGUUUACAGCAAUGUUUUAAUCAUGUCCAAAUCUAUCAAUUGAAAUAUAGUUUUUCCCGCAUUGUUUAACCAGAAUUCACAUUUGCAUUAUAGAGAGGAAAAGCAAAAGUGUGUAUAUAAAAUUUUCCAAAUGCAUUAUCGAAAUAUAAUCUUUUUCCUCAUUGUUUAAUCAGAAUUCACAUAUGCAUUUUGCCUGAUGUUCCUGAUUUUUCUCUUUCAAAGAACUUAAUGGCAGUUUAUUUGCAGAAUUUAUUAUGCUUUUCAUUGUUAGGUUUGCAUUCUUGAACUCAACAUCGAAGUAUUAUGUGGAAAUUUCUAGACUUUUGACUUACACCAAUUCCUGAUCAAUGUCUAAAAAAUAUUUUUCGAUGUAUGAUUUUUCUUGAGAGGUCUUUAAUAUUGGAAACCAUUUUUUUUUUUCUGUAAAUAACUGUUAUGAAGUGAGCAUGUGAAUGAUGCAGUAGCUUUUUGCAAGUUUAAUCAAGCAUUGACAGGAUGUUUGAGCAUCCUGCCGCGUUUCUUUCUUAGUUUUUUUAAAAAAUGUAGUUUUCUUCGAAAAUGAAUUCUUUUAGUAAGGUUUCUAAUGAUUCUGUUAUCCUUUUUCGGAAAUUUUAAGAUCUCCUAGAGUAUGCUUGGUUCAGUGUUGGAAUAAUUUGGUAUAAGUUAUCCUAAGCCAGUUACAAUUUUAGUCCUCUGAAAGAGCAUCAUUCUUGUUGAGCUACAUAAGGAUAGUUUUCCUCUGUUGUGAUCCCUCCAUUUCUUUCGAUGAGGUCGAAUGCAUCAUCCAUCAUAUCCCGCUCAUUUCUAAUCCAGCCCGAAUCCAGCGCACCUACCUACGAUCCAACCACUGCUGCAACAAGUGCCGCCCGAUCGGGCUCACACGAUACCCCCAGAGCUCCCCGCGUCGCUUCAGGUUCGACCGGCCCCGCUGGAAGAUCGAGCGAUGGGAAACUCGAGCACCCGCCUGGAGCCCGAGGUGUUAUCUUCAGAUUCAAUGGCCUGCUUGCCUGAGUCGUGCUCCUCGACUGCAUGUUGCCCGAGACCACCUUUGCGCGGCCUGCCAGCCUGAGUCGUGCUCCUUGACUGCAUGUUACCCGAAACCACAUCUGCGCGACCUGCCCGAUUGAGUUGUGCUCCUCGGUUGCAUGUUGCCCGAGACCACCUCUGCGCGGCCUGCCCNNNNNNNNNNNNNNNNNNNNCAUGUUGCCCGAGACCACCUCUACUCGGCCUGCCCGUUUGAGUCGUGCUCCUCGGCUACAUGUUGCCCGAGACCACCUUUGCUUGGCCCGCCCGACUGAGUCGUGCUUCUCGGUUGCACAUUGCCCGAGACCAUCGCUGCGCCCCCAGCUCUCCUCGAUUGCUAAACUCCACGAUUCCCACACCCUUGGUAACGGACCGGCUACCGCCCGACAGGGACAAUUUCUUAAAGCUGAAGCCAUGCCUCGGACCCCCCCCCUUACAACAACCAACGCAUAGCUUCCUUCGGGGGGGGGGGGGGGGAUAUGAUAAGGGCAAUAAUGGCGAUGGGAUGAGGGUUAACGUUAGCUGUGCCCGGAUGACGCCUCGGUUGACCUAACAGCACUUGACCAAAACAUACUGGAACGUCGACCGAGGCAUAUUAACAUCCUGCGCGAGCCCGGUCCUUCACGCCAUGCCAACACUGGUGUCAGACGUUACCAGGAGUAUGAUCAUGCUCCCUGCAAGCGGGCACAUCAGGCAACGGUAACCUUCCCUAUAAAAACCCUUGCGCUCAGAAAGAGUGGAGGAGAAUCAUGUGAGAAAAACUCCCUGUGACCGUUCACUCACUUGAUCGUCGGAGGGGUCGGGUCGAGCCUCCCGACCUAACCUGUGCGCAAGGACGAAGACGGAGCGCCUCCCACCGCGUGCCCAGGCGAAGAGUUCCCUUCCAGAGGAAACGGUUGUCCCGUCGCGAUCGGACCACCGUAGUCGGCCACCUCAACAGUCUCAAGGGUCGCCCAGGAAGAUCCCUAAUCAUUCGGACCCGAACCAAGUCACGUUGGCCCCGAGGCCACGACUUAAGGUUGUUAACACCAACAAGAUAUACAAAUCAUGAAGACAAAUUGUGAAUAUUAAGAGACAUAUUGUGUUUCUGUUUCGAUAACUCAAAUUGAGAAAAGAAAGAAUCAUAGUAGACAAUCUUGAUUUAUAAAAAAAAUUUUAAGUUAUAAUUAUAAGAAAUCAAGAGAAACCAUGAUUCAUUUUAACAAAUCUCCUCUUAAAUAAAUAAUAAAAAUAAUUCUUAGAAAAUCAUGAUAUAGAUAAAAUUCAUUCAAUCUUAUAGGAGAAUAAGAUAUGCAUAUAAAAUUUCUCAAUUUAUUAUGAAUCAUAAAAAUUAUAAUUCUGAAAAAUCAUGAUUCAUUUAGAAAAUUUUAAACGAUCAAAAGAAAUAUGGGAGUUCAAAAAAUAAGAUAUUGAUUCAUAAACAAUUUCAAGUCAAGUCAUAAAUCACGAGAAAUCAAGAUAAAGCUCAUUCAAAUUAUUAUGAUCCUUUUUCGAUAACUCAACUCAAAUCAGAUUGAUGUGACGAUGUGUCCCAAUAAAAUAAAGAUUGCGUGUUUUUAUGGAGGCAUUGAGGUGGUCAGUGUAAUAAAUAAUACAUAAGUGAUAUAUCUUAAAUUUAAAUUUAGAUGUGAGCAUCAUAUUUGGGUACAUGAGUAUCAUGUCCUUUAUUUAUAGUACUAAUUUUUUUUAUAUAUAAAUAAAAAAAAUAUAUAUAAAGUAUGGUUGACUCGUGAAAUAAUUAUUCAGCAAAUAUUCAUGAAUUGAUGGCUACGUUCAUUAAGAGACAAGUUUGUAUAUUAUAAACAGCAGGUUUUUCUCGUUUCUAAUAAAAACAUUCUAUAGGCUGAUCGCAUUGAAAUAAACUUUAUAUAUAAACAAUGGAAUUAUAUUUUUAAUUAUUUGUUCUGUAAGCUCUUCUUCAUAUAUUCGUUUCUUUGAUCAUGCAAGACAUAGUUUGGUCAGAGAAGACGUACUUUGUCCGCAAAGAAGAAACUCGAGGAUGUGUAGGCCUUCCUUCACCUUUAAAAUAAAUGUUCUCGACAUAAUAAAAAUACUUGUCCAGUAUGCACAUCUAUUUUUAAUAAAGCAUUUUAUACGAGAAAGCUUUCACUAUUAGACUUUUAUUAAAUAGAAAAUGUUCAUGUUAGGUUAGGGUCCGAAUAAAUUGAGGUUCACCCAACAAAAUAAUGACUCGUCUAAGUCUGGACCGUUGCCGUGAAUGUAUAAUGGGACGAAUCAAUUGCAAUGGGUUUGCUUGAAGCUCACCAUAUAUGUUGCUUGCUGUCAGCCCAGUGCGACGCUCAUUAAUCAUAAAUUAUAGGAGUGAGAAUUAUAUUAUUCCCCAUGAGAUUGUCAUUACCAACGAUAUUGUUGUUUGCUGGGUGUUACGGUUUGAUCUUGUCUCGAAGACGUAAGGUCAUUUGAGGAUCCCUCGUGGUUGUUUAGCAAGGGAGCUGGUGUGGCAUCGAUGAAUCUGAGGUGGUUUUUGAGGAUUCGGGAUGGACUUCGAUCUUUUCAGGUUCCUACACAAAGUUUAGUGUCAGGCGGAGUUUCCCGACCGUGAUGUUCAAGUUAGUUUUAUGGAGUUGUGUGAGGUAUAAAGGGUUUUUGUGAAUAAUAUAAUUAAAAGUAGAUAUCUGUGAUCUGCCAAAAUUCAACUGCUUGGUUCCACUUGCAUCAAGUGUGUCAAAAAGGGCAAAACUAAUACUAGAGCAAUUGACAGCCUCCAAGAGAGUUGGUGUUGAGCUCAAUAGAAGGGAGCUGUAGGAAUUGAACUGCUUUAGUAGCUUCAUGUUGGAUCUUCUACUAUGUAUAGACUUGGAGAAAGAAAAACGAGGAUGAUGCAAGCCAAAAUUAACGAACUUUAGAUGAAUAGACUAAGACAUGAGAGAAUAAAUGAGAUAGAGAAUUUUGUGUACCAACAAAUACAAGCAUAUCAUAAUACAUAGUAGAAUUAAAUGAAAAUUAUAAUCAAAUAAAACAUCAAAAUUUACGUGAAAAACUCCUUCAACAUGAAGGGUAAAAACCACAGGGUAAACAAGAGGAAAUGUACUAUAAAAAUAAUGAAUAUAUAAAUCUCAGAGUCUUUUGCCCAAAACCCAAGCAACAAUCACAAGAGAAUAAUUAUGAUAUAAGGAUUACGUCAUUGUGCAUAAUAUCCAAAAUCUCCUCAAGUGAUCACAACAGGAAUCUACAAUAAAUCUGAUCUAAUAUGAGAUCAGAACACUUAUUGGAUGAUUGAGAAUAGUCUCUACGUUGACCUUGUCUUCUUCCUUUUCCUUCUUCUCUUGUUUUUCUUUCCUCAACUGUCACUGUUGCAUCUCUCUUUUUUACAACCACCGUUGCCCUCUUUUUUUGCCUUAGCAACCAUACUUCUUGGUUAAAAGAGUUAGUAUUUUGGUUAAAAAAAAAGAGAGUUAAGACUAAAGUGGGUUGUGGGUAAUUAAAGCCUACUAUGAGUUGAAUAAUGAGUCAUCUGCCCAACAACCUCCCCCUUCGGCCCAUAAGGGAGGUUGUCUCAUAACUCCUCAAUGUAAAUUCAUACAAACUUUUGGUAUAUCUUUUGUCUUUCUUUUGGUAAGGUCUUUAUCAAUAUAUCUACUCCAUUAUCAUCUCUAUGAAUUUUCUAAAGUUGCAACUGCUUUUCUUCAAGUAAAUUUUGAAUCCAAUGAUACCUGACAUAUAUAUGCUUUGACUUGAAAUGAAAAGUUGGGUUCUUACACAAAUAGAUGACGCUCUUACUUUCACAAUACACUAUAUAGUUUUUCUUUUUCAGUCAUAAUUUUUGUAAGAAUUCUUUUAUCCAUGAUAUUUACUUACAAACCUCUAUAGUAGUAAUAUAUUCUGCCUUUAUGGUGAAGAGAGCAAUAUACCUUUGCAAUCUGGAUUGCCAUGACACAACUCUCAUUGCAAAAGUAAAUACAAAACCUAAUGUAGACUUCCUCGUAUCAAUAUCUAUUGUCAUAUCUGCAUCUGUGUAACCUGUCAACACUGAUUGUCCACCUCCAUAGCUUAAACAAAAUAAUGACUCAUCUAAGUCUGGAUUAUUGCCAUGAAUGUAUCAUGCAACAAAUCAAUUGCAUUGGGUUUGCUUGAAGCCCAUCAUAUAUAUAGCUUGCUGUUAGCCUAAUGCAACACUCAUUCAUCUUAAAUUAUAGGAGUGAGAAUUAUAUUAUUCCUCACGAGAUUGUCAUUAUCAAUUAUAUUGUUGUUGAUUGAGUGUUGUCAAUUGAUAGUCGGUAUGAUUUGGUCUUAUUCUAAAGUUGCAAGGUCGUCCGAGGAUCCCUCAUGGUUGUCUGGCGAGGUGGUUGGUGUGGUGCCGACGAAUCUAAGGUGGUUUCUGAGGAUCUAGGACGGACUUUGGUCUUCUUGGUGGGUUCAUGCACAAAGGUUAAUGUCGGGAGGAGUUUCCCGACUCGACUCGACCCCUUCGAUGCUCAAAUUAGCUUUGUAAAGUUGCAUGGGGUAUAAAGGAUUAUCUUCAAGAGAAGUCAAACCCUUGGAUAGGCAUAAGGGGUUGACUUUUAUACCAAGCGAUCGAGGGGUUCGUUUGUAACUGUUGUAAUGCCCUCCACAUAGCAUUUUGUCCACGUGAGCGAUAGGCUUGAAUGACCUUUUGCGGGUUGUCGUCCACAAAGGCCGAUUGAUUGGGGACAUAUAUGAAGGAUCACUCGGGGAUCACUAUCUUUAGUGACCAACAUGAUUUAUACAUGUCGGGGAUCACUAUCUGAAGGAUCACUCGGGGAUCACUAUCUUUAUUUAUACAUGUUAAAAGAGAGUAUUUCCUUGAUCAGCAAGAUUUUCUUGUAUAGUUGGGGAAAUAGAAUCUUCUAAUAUGUAUAGACUUUAGAUGAUGACAAUGAUCCUCUAAUAGAAAGAAAAAUGAGGAUGAUGUGAACUUUAGAUGAAUAGAAUAGGACUUGUGAGAAUAAAUGGGAUGGAGCUUGACGAAAUCUUCGCUUGGAUUACGAUCUUAUUCUAGAGACUUGAGCUCGAGGAGAAGGGUCCCAAACCUAACGACACAAUGUCGAUGCCUAUACGUAUUCUCCUCCGUAGAUCAUGACCCACGACCAACUCUUGACCGUGUUGUUGUUGAUGAGGGCUUGUCGUCAACGAAGCUCCGAGGUCAUCCUAAUAUUUUAAGAAGGUUCAGAUGACCUGGGAGACUUCCAUCUCUCUCUGUUUGUGUUGGAAUUCUAAUGUAAACCCUUAUGUCAGGAUUAAUACUUAUAAUAAACCUUACACGAAGUUGGCUCUUUCCUAAUCGCUUAAGGUUUUGAGACUAACUGUAUCGUGAUAUUAAAAUAUAUUCGAGUGUGAAAUUUACAGUCAUGGAGCAAAGAUGAUGAUCCUCGUGAGUUUCUUUGGUCUUAGCUUAGUGGCGAGGAGUCACAAUCGAUUAGGAAAUCUGCUAAGCUGGCGCCGGCCAUUGAUUGACACAUCGAUGGUGCGUCGAGUGGAGGAAGACUAAUAAGUUCGUGGUCGUUCCCAUGGCGCAGCGGAAACCGUGUGCAAGCAGGGUUGAAGAAGGUGAACACGUCUUUCUUCCCCCGUUAAUUUCGCUCACCGCAUGUUGCAAGCCAAAGAUCAAAGGACUUUACAUGAACAGAGCAAGGCAAUGAAGAAUUAAACGUGUGGCGAUUAAUAUACUCCAAGAACCUUUUUGUGCUAAGUUAGGUUCUGAUGGUGUGACAUGUGGACUCGAGAAAUCUGACUUAACAGCCACCCAACAUCUCGGACUGAGACGAAACCAAAAGUAUACAUCGAUUGGCUCCGAACCUUACUCACAUGUCACACCAUCAGAACCUAUGUUAGCACAAUAAAGUUACUGGAGUAUAUUAAUCGCCACACCUUUAAUUCUUCAAUGCCAUACUCUCUUCAUGUAAAGUCCUUUGAUCUUUGAACACCAACGCCAGCAUUUUCGCCUCCGUCGUUGUCCUUGUCCCACCGCCACCUCUAGGCUGCGUUGUUCCUGGCGAAGACUCAGUCGUAGGACCUUCUCGUGGUUCUCACCGGGUAGACUGACUUCACUUCCAUCCCUCUCUACGUGUUGGAAUUAUACAUCGGAUGCUCAUGCGUCAUUGCGAGGAUGAAUACUGACAAACCGAACACAUCGGCUGCGGUUGUUUAGGAUGAUGACCGACCCAUUUAUUCCCAGCAGCCUCACCUGCACGAGACUUCCUCGGAGUUUCCCUUCUGCAUUACGUCAAUGAAUUCAUCUCAAACUCAGUUCAAGAGUACCGGCAUACGCAUUAGAUUCGGAUGCCCGAAAAGAAUCGAUCUACCGCCAUCCUUAUCUCUGUCCUUGACGAUGUUUGCACAGAGACGACUCGAUCCCUCACAAGUCAAUUGACUCAGUUGGUCGCUGGUGCAUCGACCAUAGAGGAAGACCAAAUAAAUGAAGGCGUGAAUGAGGCGGUGGCAACCGUGCGCGAAGCAGACUCGAAGAAGUGUGCUCGCGGCGCAGCGUGUCACAGAAAUAUAUAGGUUGUAAGAUUUUAUAUACUUCGAGGAUACGUUUCUUCUCAUGCUUAACCUCAAAGAAAGAAGGAAAUCACAUGAGUUACAGAUGAACACAACAGCAAUACAAAUAAAUUAUACGAAGCAAAGAUGAUGAGUGGAUGAGCACUUCCUCUAAGAGUCAUCCAGGAGUUAGUCAAAGUCUUCUUGUCUUCAUCCCAAAGCGCAGCCUCCCCUUGUCAUCUUCUCUUCCCUGGUGCAGGUCCCAUCCCACCCUCCUUCCCUAUAUAACAUGAACGAGGCCUUCGCCAAUCGUCACAGGCAAUCCACCAUGGCCUCCCGUAACCUCUCCUCCCUCCUCCUCGUCGUCCUCCUCGUCUUCGCCGGCUAUGCCGGUUCCCACGCCGGCAGCAUCGCCGUGUACUGGGGCCAGAACGGCAACGAGGGCGGCCUUGCCGACACCUGCAACACCGGCAUCUACUCGUACGUGAUGCUGGCUUUCCUCACCACCUUCGGCAACGGGCAAACCCCCGUCCUCAACCUGGCGGGCCACUGCGACCCCCCCUCCGGCACCUGCACCGGCCUCAGCUCCGACAUCCGCGCCUGCCAGUCCCAGGGCAUCAAGGUGCUCCUCUCCCUCGGUGGCGACUCCAGCAGCUACUCCCUGUCCUCCUCCGACGACGCCGCGAGCGUGGCGACGUAUCUGUGGGCCAACUACCUCGGCGGCUCGUCCAGUUCGCGCCCGCUGGGUGACGCCGUCCUCGACGGCAUCGACUUCGACAUCCAGCAUGGCGGCCCCGACCACUACAACGAGCUGGCGAAGCAGCUCUCCGACUUGGGCGGCCAGGCUGGGACCAAGGUGUACCUCUCGGCGGCGCCGCAGUGCCCCUACCCGGACCAGUCCUUGGGGAACGCGCUGCAGACGGGGCUCUUCGACUACGUGUGGGUGCAGUUCUACAACAACCCCAGCUGCGACUACUCGUCGGGGGUCAGCGGCCUGAGCAGCGCAUGGGGGACGUGGACGUCGAGCUUGUCGUCAUCGACCGUCUUCCUGGGGCUGCCGGCCUCGCAGGACGCGGCCGGGAGCGGGUACAUCCCGCCCGACGUCCUCACCUCCCAGGUGCUGCCGGCGAUCAAGACUGCGUCCAACUACGGCGGCAUCAUGCUGUGGAGCAGAUACUACGAUCUCAACAGCGGGUACAGCGCUGCCGUGAGGAACAGUGUUUGAGAUGGCGAUGUACUCACUACCAUAUGUGUGCUUCCGAUUACGAGGUCAUGAAUAAGGCGGGACAGUGAUAGAAAGGUGUUCCAGAUUGAUGUGACGAUGCGUCCCAAUAAAAUAAAGAUUGCGUGUUUUUAUGGAGGCAUUGAGGUGGUCAGAGUAAUAAAUAAUACAUAAGUGAUAUAUCUUAAAUUUAAAUUUAGAUGUGAGCAUCAUAUUUGAGUACACGAGUAUCAUGUCCGUUAUUUAUAGUACUAUUUUUUUUUAUUUUAUAAAAAUAAAAAAAUAUAUAAAGUAUGCUUGACACGUGAAAUAAUUAAAAUAAACCCAUAGACGGACCAAGAAAGGUGGUGUAUCGAUGACAAUUGAUGCAAAUAACAAAUUCAGCAAAUAUUCAUGAAUUGAUGAUGGCUUCGUUAAUUAAGAGACAAGUUUGCAUAUUAUAAACAAGCUGGUUUUUCUCGUUUCUAAUAAAAACAUUCUAUAGGCUGAUCGCAUUGAAAUAAACUUUAUCUUAUAAACAAUGGAAUUAUAUUUUUAAUUAUUUGUUCUGUAAGCUCUUCUUCAUAUAUUCGUUUCUUUGAUCAUGCAAGACGUAGUUUGGUCGGAGAUGACGUACUUUGUCCGCAAAGAAGAAACUCGAGGAUGUGUAGGCCUUCCUUCACCUUUAAAAAAAUGUUCUCGACAUAAUAAAAAUACUUCUAUUUUUAAUAAAGCAUUUUAUACGAGAAAGCUUUCACUAUUAGACUUUUAUUAAAUAGAAAUGAUGCUUCUCUAAUUGGUUUUUACACGAGACAUCCUUUGCCUCUAUCUCUUUGCCUUCGGUCAUUGAAUAUGACCUUUCUAACCAACAUGGAAUGUUGUCUAAUCAUAAUUCCUCAUGCGUUUCUUCCGAAUGGGCCAUAUGCCCCUAAUUUUUGAAUCGAUGUUCAUGUUGGGUUAGGGUCCGAAUAAAUUGAGGUUUACCCAACAAAAUAAUGACUCGUCUAAGUUUGGUCUGUUGCCGUGAAUGUUUCAUGCGACGAAUCAAUUGCAGUGGAUUUGCUUGAAGCUCACCAUAUAUGUUCUUGCUGUCAACCCAGUGCGACGCUCAUUAAUCCUAUAUUAUAGGAGUGAGAAUUAUAUUAUUCCCGGGGAGAUUAUCAUUACCAACGAUAUUGUUGUUUGCUGAGUGUUACAGUUUGAUCUUGUUUUUGAAGACGUAAGGUCAUUUGAGGAUCCCUCGUGGCUGUCUGUCUGGCGAGGGAGCUAGUGUGGCACCGAAGAAUCUGAGAUAGUUUCUAAGGAUUCGAGAUGGACUUCGAUCUUCCCAGGUUCCUGCACAAAGGUUAGUGUCGGGCGGAGUUUCCCGACCUGACUUCUCCGAUGUUCAAAUUAGUUUUGUGGAGUUGUGUGAGGUAUAAAGGGUUUUUGUGAAAAGAGGUCCGACCCUUGGGCAAGCGUCGGGGGUUGGCUUUUAUACCUGGGCGAUCAAGGAGAUCGUUUGUUAAUAUUAUAAUGCCCUCCGCAUAGCAUUUUGUCCAUGUGAAUGAGAGGCCCGAGCGAUCCUCUACAGGUUAUCGUCUACAAAGGCCAACUGAGUGGGGAUAUAUCAGAAGGAUCACCCGGAGACCACUAUUCUUGGUGAUCGACAAAAUUAAUCGGAACGAUCUCCCGUGAACUAUUAUCUAUGAGGGCCGCCAAGUGCCCCACGAUGCUAUCGAGUUGGGAGGUGAUUUACCCUUACCUUCCAUGUCGACAUCUCGGUGGCGAUCAACUAUAAAGCUAGUUUUGUCAAAAUAUUUCCUAUUAGAUAUAUGAACCUGAUGUAAGAUGGGAACCUUUAACUCUAUCGAUAUUUCAUUAUCAUGAACUUACCUUAAUUUAUCUAAACCGUAUAUCACAUUCAUGCAAAGAGUUAAUCUUUCAAUGUGAAAAAAUAGAUAGUGACAUGUGAAUGCACUAUAAUAGUGACUUGGCUUAAAGCAUAAACUAAGAUUGCACUAGCAUCAUCGAAUAAAAUAAUUUAGUGGCAUGCUUUCACUUAUGCUCGAUAGCUUCUUGUUUUCUUUACUAGAACAAAAAUACAUUGCUUUAAAAGUAGCUUCAAGUAGGAAUUGAACUGCUUUAGUAGCUUCAUGUUCGAUCUUAUACAAUGUAUAGACUUGGAGAAAGAAAAACGAGGAUGAUGCAAGCCAAAAUUAACGAACUUUAAAUGAAUAGUCUAAGACAUGAGAGAAUAAAUGAGUUAGAGACCGGCGAAGCACCAUUAAGUGAUGAGAUAAAAAGAGAAUUUUGUAUACGAACAAAUAAAUCAUAACACGUAGCAGAAUUAAAUGAAAAUCAUAGUCAAAUAUAAUAUCAAAAUUUACGUAAAAAAUCUCUCCAACACGAAGGGUAAAAACCAUAGGGUAAGCAAGAGAAAAUCUACUAUAAAAAUAAUGAAUAUACAAAUCUCAGAGUCUUUUGCCCAAAACCCAAGCAACAAUCACAAGAGAAUAACUAUGAUAUAAGGAUUACGUCAUUGUGCAUAAUAUCUAAAAUCUCCUCAAGUGAUCACAACAAGAAUCUACAAUAAAUCUGAUCUAAUAUGAUAUUAUAAUACUUCUUGGAUGAUUGAGAAUAGUCUCUAUAUUGUCCUUGUCUUCUUUCCUUUCCUUCUUCUCUUGUUUUUCUUUCCUCAACUAUCACUGCUGCUUCUCUCUUUUUUACAACCAUCGCUGCCCUCUUUUUUUGCCCUAGAAACCAUACUUCUUGGUUAAAAGAGAAAAGAGUUAAGAUUAAAGUGGGCUGUGAAUAAUUAAAGCCUACUAUGAGUUGAAUAAUGAGUCAUUUGCCCAACAAUCUUCCUCUUCAGCCCAUAAGGGAGGUUGUCUCAUGACUCCUCAAUGUGAAAUCAUACCGACAAACUAUUGGUAAUCUUUUGCCUUUAUUUUGGUAAGGUCUUUAUCAACAUAUUUGCUCUAUUACCAUCUGUAUGAAUUUUCUAAAGUUGUAACUGCUUCUCUUCAAGUAUAUUUCGAAUCCAAUGGUAUCUGACAUCUAUAUGCUUUGACUUGGAUUGAAAAGUUGUGUUCUUACACAAAUAGAUGACGCUAUGACUUUCACAAUACACUACAUAGUUUUUUUUUUUUCGGUCAUAAUUUUUGUAAGAAUUUUUUUAUCCAUAAUAUUUCUUUGCAAACCUCUAUAGUAGUAAUAUAUUCUGCCUCUAUGGCGGAGAGAGCAAUAUACCUUUGCAAUCUGGAUUGCCACGACACAACUCCCCUUGUAAAAGUAAGUACAAAACCUAAUGUAUACUUCAUUGUAUCAAUAUCUAUUGUCGUAUCUGCAUCUGUGUAACCUGUCAAUAUAGAUGGUCCACCUCCAAAGCUUAAAAAAAAUAAUGACUCAUCUAAGUCUGGAUUGUUGCCAUGAAUGUAUCAUGCAACAAAUCAAUUGCAUUAGGUUUGCUCGAAGCCCACCAUAUAUGUUGCUUGAUGUUAGCCCAGUGCAACACUCAUUCAUCCUAAAUUAUAGGUGUGAGAAUUAUAUUAUUCCUCAUGAGAUUGUCAUUAUCAAUUAUAUUGUUGUUGCCUGAGUGUUGUCAAUUGAUAGUCGGUAUGAUUUGGUCUCAUUCUAAAGUUGCAAGGUCAUCCGAGGAUCCCUCGUGGUUGUCUAGCGAGGUGGUUGGUGUGGUGUCGAUGAAUCUAAGGUAGUUUCUGAGGAUCUAGGAUAGACUUUGGUUUUCUUAGUGGGUUUAUGCACAAAGGUUAAUAUCGGGGGGAGUUUCCCGACCCGACUCGAUCUCUCUGAUGUUCAAAUUAGCUUUGUGAAGUUGCGUGGGGUAUAAAGGAUUUUCUUAAAGAGAAGUCCGACCCUUGGACAGCCAUCAGGGGUUGACUUUUAAACCUAGGCGAUCGAGGGGAUCGUUUGUAACUGUUGUAAUGCCCUCCACAUAGCAUUUUGUCCAUGUGAGCGAUAGGCUCGAAUGACCUUUUGCGGGUUGUCGUCCACAAAGGCCGAUUGAGUGGGACAUACCUGAAGGAUCACCCGGGGAUCACCAUCUUUAGUGACCGACAUGAUUUUCCCAAACGACCUCCCGUAUACUAUUGUCCAUAGGAGUUGAUAGGUGCCCCACGAUGGGGUGACAAACCUGACGAUGGAGGCUUGAAUAGCUUGGAGGAUGAGAUGAUCUUGGGGUAAUCAUAGUUUAUGGGCUGGAUUUAGUACUAGACUAGGGUCUUCUAGGAUAUUGAUAAUUGUGAUGGACAAUGAAGAGAGCUAUUGACACAGUCUCGUAGAUCGUAUCCAAAUAGGAGAUUAGAAAAUUAUGCACGUCAAGAUGUGUAGUUGUCAUCUUUAGAUAAUUUAAAAGGGAUGAGUGUUACUUGAUGGUGAUAAGACAUAUGUUGAGAAGUGAUAUAUUCCCUGAGGGGAUAAUAACUAGAGCGUUAGAGGUAGAUGAUAAAGAUAUUUUGAGGAUAGGUAUAUGAGAGAGUAAGGGAGUUGUCAGCUGUAGAAGGAGAGUGGAAGAUGGCUCCAAUGAGGAUCGUAGUGAUUGCUGCAGCAGGUUGAGGUAUCUUCUUCUUCGCCCCUCUAGGAGGUCUCAGAUCCUUAGACAGAGAUAUUUAUCGAAGGAGGCAUUUGGGCGAGCAGAUCUUAAUGGGCUGAAGGUGCGGCCUGGAGGAGCAGUUCUAAUGGCGAAAGGAGAAGUUGAAGGAAGUUUGUUUCUGGAGCGAUUGGGUCUCGAUCGAGGAAAUCUCGCUGAUCAGUUGAGGGAAUUCCUUUCUUCUAACAUGUAUAAAUAGACAUUGUAUUCAACUAAUUGAAGAGUGCUUUGUCAUUACAUUUCAUUUUCUCAUGCUAUCAGAGUUGUAGUGAGCGAACGCUAGCGCAGAGCGACAGAGGGAGAAGAUAGACAGUCGUUGUUCGUUUAGGAGGAAAUCAGUGAUCUGAUCAACAAUCACUAAAGGUGGCAGCACCUGCGCUUCCUUUGGGAGCAUCGUCCGUGGUGAAGAGAGAAGAAAUAGGGAUGCUACACUAAAGGGAAGGGAUCGCCUUGCGCACGAACGCAGAUCAUCAGUCGUCGGUCGCCUUGCACUUGCUUGGGAGGUGGAGACCUUUGACAGGAGAUGUGGCACUUGCGUUUGGAGUAGCAGAGGCAACAACAAGAGCAGAUUCUCGAGUAAGUGACGCAAGCUUCCAUGAUCUUGAUGUCGGUGUAGCAAGAGGAGGCACUCCUCGUGCGCAGCUUGCAAUCUACAAGGUGUGCUGGGGUGCGCGGCUAGCAAUCUACAAGGUGUGCUGGGAUGUCAGGUUUGAGGAUGCUUGGAGUGGCAAAAUUUUGUCCUCUCGAUGAGAAGUAUGCAACAGAAGGCACCGGUGAGCAGCUGAACCGGUGCCGGGUGGUGGGCUCGAAAGGUGCGGGCGUUGGCUUUGCGCUUGCCACCGUUCUCCUCAAAGGCUACACGGAGGCGACCAAUGAGGGCGUCAGGGAGAGCUUUUCUGCCGGAUGAAGAGCCUUGAGGGAGGAAGAAGUGGCAGUAUAAGUUGCCUCAUCUAGACGACCAAGACACACAAUGGAAGCCACCUCGUCUAGGCGACCGGGACCGAUGAUUCGUUGAUGGAGAGGAAGGUAUAGUAGCAGACAAGGUGGAUACGGAGGAUCUCGUUGAUCUACUCCUCAUUGGCCUCGCAAGCAUGAUGUUGUCAUGCUAGUGGCGAUACUGAUAGAAGGUGAGUUAGCUAUCGCUGAACAUCGAGGAAGAGAAGAGAAAUCUUGCUAUAACGCAAGGGCUCUGAUACUGAUAAAAUGAAAUGUAAUGAUAAAGUACACUUCAAUUAGUUGAAUACAAUAUCUAUUUAUACAUGUAAGAAGAGAGGAUUUAUCUGAUCAGUAAAAUUUUCUCGUAUAGUUGAAGAAAUCUUAUCUGUUAUGAGGAUCUUCUAAUAUGUAUAGACUUUAGACGAUGAGAUGAUCUUCUAAUAGAAAGAAAAAUGAGGAUGAUGUGAACUUUAUAUGAAUAGAAUAAGACAUGGAAGAAUAAAUGGGAUGGAGAUUGACGAAAUCUUCACUUGGAUUACCAUCUUAUUCUAAAGACUUGAGCUGGAGGAAAAGGGUCCCAAACCUAACGACACAAUGUCGAUGCCUAUACGUAUUCUCCUCCGUAGAUCAUGACCCACUACCAACUCUUGACCGUGUUGUUCUUGACGAGGACUAGUCAUCAACGAAGCUCCGAGGUCACCCUAAUAUUUUAAGAAGGUUCAGAUGACCUGGGAGACUUCCAUCUCUCUCUGUUUGUGUUGGAAUUCUAAUGUAAACCCUUAUGCCAGGAUUAAUACUUAUAAUAAACCUUACACGAAGUUGGCUCUUUCCUAAUCGCUUAAGGUUUUGAGACUAACUGUAUCUCAAUCAAAAUUCGUAUCGUGAUAUUAAAAUAUAUUCGAGUGUGAAAUUUACAGUCAUAGAGCAAAGAUGAUGAUCCUCGUGAGUUUCUUUGGUCUUAGCUUAGUGGCGAGGAGUCACAAUCGAUUAGGAAAUCCGCUAAGCUGGCGCCGGCCAUUAAUUGACUCAUCGAUGGUGCGUCGACUAUGGAGAAAGACUAACAAGUUCGUGGUCGUUCCCAUGACGCAGCGGAAACCGUGUGCAAGCAGGGUUGAAGAAGGCGAACACGUCUUUCUUCCCCCAUUAAUUUCGCUCACCGCAUGUUGCAAGCCAAAGCUCAAAGGGCUUUACAUGAACAGAGUAUGGCAUUGAAGAAUUAAAGGUGUGGCGAUUAAUAUACUCCAUUAACCUUUUUGUGCUAACUUAGGUUCUGAUGGUGUGACAUGUGAGUAAGGUUCGGAGCCAAUCAAUGUUUACUUUUGACUCCGUCUCAGUCCGAGAUGUUGGGUAGCUGUUAAAGUCAGAUUUGUCGAGUCGAUUGCCUCGGCUAGUCGCUGGUGCAUCGUUUGACUAUGAACACCAACGUCAGCAUUUUCGCCUCCGUCGUUGUCCUUGUCCCACCGCCACCUCUAGGCUGAGUUGUUCCUUGCGAAGACUCGGUCGCAGGACCUUCUCGUAGUUCCCACCGGGGAGACUGACUUCACUUCCAUCCUUCUCUACGUGUUGGAAUUAUACAUCGGAUGCUCAUGCUUCAUUGCGAGGAUGAAUACUGACAAACCGAACACAUCGGCUGCGGUUGUUUAGGAUGAUGACGACCCAUUCAUUCCCAGCAGCCUCAUCUGCACGAGACUUCCUCGGAGUUUCCCUUCUGCAUUACGUCAAUGAAUUCAGUCUCAAAAUCAGUUCAAGAGUACCGGCAUACGCAUUAGAUAGAUCGAAUAGAGUCGGAUGCCCGAAAAGAAUCGAUCUACCGCCAUCCUUAUCUCUGUCCUUGACGAUGUUUGCACAGAGACGACUCGAUCCCUCACAAGUCGACUGUCUCAGUUGGUCGCUGGUGCAUCGACCAUAGAGGAAGACCAAAUAAAUGAAGGCGUGAAUGAGGCGGUGGCAACCGUACGCGAAGCAGACUCGAAGAAGUCUGCUCGCGGCGGAGCGCGCCACAGAAAUAUAAUAGAUUGUAAGAUUUUAUAUACUUCGAGGAUACGUUUCUUCUCAUGCUUAACCUCAAAGAAAGCUGGAAAUCACUUAAGCACAUGAGUUACAAAAAAACACUACAGCAAUACAAAUAAAUUAUACGAUGCAAAGAUGAUGAGUAGAUGAGCGCCUCUUCUAAGAGUCAUCCAACAGUUAGUCAAAGUCUUCAUGUCUUCAUCCCAAAGCGCAGCCUCCCCCUGUCAUCUCCUCUUCUCUGGUGCAGGUCCCAUCCCACCCUCCUUCCCUAUAUAACAUGAACGAGGCCUUCGCCAAUCGUCACAGGCAAUUCACCAUGGCCUCCCGUAACCUCUCCUCCCUCCUCCUCGUCGCCCUCCUCGUCUUCGCCUUCUCUGCCGGCUCCCACGCCGGCAGCAUCGCCGUGUACUGGGGCCAGAACGGCAACGAGGGCGGCCUUGCCGACACCUGCAACUCCGGCAUCUACUCGUACGUGAUGCUGGCUUUCCUCACCACCUUCGGCAACGGGCAAACCCCCGUCCUCAACCUGGCGGGCCACUGCGACCCCCCCUCCGGCACCUGCACCGGCCUCAGCUCCGACAUCCGCGCCUGCCAGUCUCAGGGCAUCAAGGUGCUCCUCUCCCUCGGUGGCGACUCCAGCAGCUACUCCCUGUCCUCCUCCGACGACGCCGCGAGCGUGGCGACGUAUCUGUGGGACAACUAC
rnacentral:lncRNA from 1 species